GCGUACAGGCGUGACAGUGAAUAGUGUGAAUUUUCACCUUAGGGGGCGCUAUGGAGCCAUUUUGCAUUUUCUUGUUUGGGCGACUUCGGAAUAUCAAAUUUUUCACCAGGCCCGGUCGUCCUGCCAAAUUUCAUGAGUUUUCGCCAGUGGGAAGUGGGCCAUUUUCCAGUUCAAAGGGGAGGAAAAAUAAUAACUAGGGCCCCGUUGGGGCACUGGCGGGCCCGAGCCGUGUCACGCCGCCCCCAGCGCGACCGCCUCCCCCACCCGAUCGCGUCACACUCAAGGUCCAAAGAUGGUGUGCGCACUUGUUUGUGGUCAAUUACCAUUAUAAUGAACGGGAGGCGCAGUUUCUACCAAAGCGCUCGCUGCAGAAAAACUCCAUGUCCUAUUUGAAAAAAGUCUGGACCAUGAGUGAGGGCACAAACACAGCUAAGAUAUAUCCAAAUGGCAAGUUGCUCCUCCUUUCGCUUUUGCCGAGAGAGCAGUGCGUUUGAGCCAUUGAAUGAUGAACAGGAAAAACUUGACUUUAUUCUCCUGCCAUGGGGGGCGCUCUUUUAACGAGAAAAAACUCCUUCACAAAUGUGUUGAUGGCUGGACAUUGCAUCAUCCUAGAAAACAUGGAGGCCAGUGAGGACAAAAAUAAAAAGUUAUAAGACUUUUAAAUAUGUGGAUUUUAGGGUUAUCUUUGGCGCCCCCUAGAACCUAAACCGUGGGGUGCAGCGUCAUGAUUUGAAUAACUUUUAAUGGCCAUGGGGUGUAGAUUGGCCUGAGCAAAUGUGGUGCCGGUGGAACAAAAGCCUUCGGAGGAGUUAGCGAAAUUCCAAUGUGUGCGAAUCUGCAAAAAAUGCAAAAUAACCCUUUAACCGUACAUUUUACAGAUACGUGGCCAUUGACUUUUUCGAAGAUCUUAUUGAAAUACACGUGUAUGUAAAAUUUUGUGUCAAUACGACAAAACAUACAGGCGUAGCACUCAACAAUGUGUAUUUUCACCUUAGUGGACAAGAAAAAAUGGACUUUUUUCUCCUGCCAUGGGGGGGCGCUCUUUUGGGGAGUAAAAAUUCCUUCACAAAUGUGUUGAUGGCUGGACAUUGCAUCAUCCUAGAAAACUUGGAGGCCAGUGGGGACAAAAAUAAAAAGUUAUAAGACUUUUAAAUAUGUGGAUUUUACGGUUAUCUUUGGCGCCCCCUAGAACCUAAACCGUGGGGUGCAGCGUCAUGAUUUGAAUAACUUUUAAUGGCCAUGGGGUGUAGAUUGGCCUGAGCAAAUGUGGUGCCGGUGGAACGAAAGCCUUCGGAGGAGUUAGCGAAAUUCCAAUGUGUGCGGAUCGGCAAAAAAUGCGGAAUAACCCUUUAACCGUACAUGUAACAGAUACGCGCGCAUUGACUUUUUCGUAGAUCUUAUUGAGAUACAUGUGUGUGUCAAUUUUUGUGUCAUUUUGCCAAAGCGUACAGGUGUUACACUCAACAAUGUGUAUUUUCACCUUAGAGGACAAGAAAAAAUGGACUUUUUUCUCCUGCCAUGGGGGGGCGCUCUUUUGGGGAGUAAAAAUUCCUUCACAAAUGUGUUGAUGGCUGGACAUUGCAUCAUCCUAGAAAACUUGGAGGCCAGUGAGGGCAAAAAUAAAAAGUUAUAAGACUUUUAAAUAUGUGGAUCUUAGGGUUAUCUUUGGCGCCCCCUAGAACCUAAACCGUGGGGUGCAGCGUCAUGAUUUGAAUAACUUUUAAUGGCCAUGGGGUGUAGAUUGGCCUGAGCAAAUGUGGUGCCGGUGGAACGAAAGCCUUCGGAGGAGUUAGCGAAAUUCCAAUGUGUGCGGAUCGGCAAAAAAUGCGAAAUAACCCUUUAACCGUACAUUUGACAGAUACGCCCGCACUGACUUUUUUGUAGAUCUUAUUGAGAUACAUGUGUGUGUCAAUUUUUGUGUCAUUUUGACAAAGCGUACAGGCGUGACAGUGAAUAGUGUGAAUUUUCACCUUAGGGGGCGCUAUGGAGCCAUUUUGCAUUUUCUUGUUUGGGCGACUUCGGAAUAUCAAAUUUUUCACCAGGCCCGGUCGUCCUGCCAAAUUUCAUGAGUUUUUGCCAGUGGGAAGUGGGCCAUUUUCCAGUUCAAAGGGGAGGAAAAAUAAUAAUAAUAAUAAUAAUAACAAAAGAAGGAAACUACAGGAACAAGAGGGCUCUCGCAGCUGCUUAGCAGCUACGCUCGGGCCCUAAUAAUAACAAAAGAAGGAAACUACAGGAACAAGAGGGCUCUCGCAGCUGCUCAGCAGCUACGCUCGGGCCCUAAAAAACCACUUGGGGAAUAAUAGGGCUCUCGCAGCUGCUUAGCAGCUACGCUCGGGCCCUAACUAGGACCCCGUUGGGGCACUGGCGGGCCCGAGCCGUGUGCCCCCCCCCCCCCCCCCCCCCAACGUGCUGCCUCCCCGUCCCAUUUGUGUCCUCUGGCCAUCGCCCUCUCUGGUAACGCCCAUCACUGCAAAGACCCUUUUCCUUCAUCGGCGUUUGCUGUUCUUCCUGCCAGUGCGUGUUGCUUUCACUUACACUUGCCACAGCCAGCCUCGUGAGUGCCUAGCCUAUUCGAUAUCACUGUCGAUAUCAUUCGCUUACGUUCUUCCUGCAACAUGAGAAGGGAGGGAGGGACUCUCAGCAGGGAUGCAGUCUGGGACACGUAGUUGCAAACCUAACGACUUUGUUGUUAGAUUCAAUGACUUUUCAGACCCCCUAACGACUUUUUUUUAGAAAGAAAGGGACUUUUAUCGACUUCUUCUGGAGUUUAGAGACUCUGACAUGAAGCAGGCUUUCCUUACUGAGGAGUUAGCAACGCUGCUAAGGGUGCAGAGCCACACAUGCGCUCAGAGCUCUGCAUGGGAGACUGAAGCUGACAGAGCUGCAGCAGUUAGCAGGUUUCACCCUCAGAGACCACCAGGGGUUCAUGUUGAGGCAUUUUAAUUUUUUUUUUUUUUGUGCCAUAGACACUGUCAGCACAAUCUGCAGUUACACUAACAAAAAUGCUGCAAAAAACAAAGAAUUAUGGAAAAAUUACACAUGGACUGACAUAGAGGAGGAUCUACACAAGUUUUUUACAUCAUGUUUUACAUCAUGCAUCAUUUACAUCAUGUUUUUUUGUAGUGGCAUAAAUAAAAAGUGACAUUUGUGAGACUAUACAGUGUUUUGUAAAUAAUUUUACAAAGAACGCCUGGGCCAUUGCCUGCAUUUUGAUGUAAAUAGAGGUAAAUCACUAUGUUCUUUGUUAAAAAUUUGCAUAUGUUUAGAAGUUUACAAUUUUUAUUUGAAGUUUAAGUUUUAAAAACAGUUCAUCACACAUAUUUGUGGUUUUCACAGUAAAAAUGUUACUUUUUUCCACUCGGAUUUUAUGUUUUGUGUGUGAAUUUGGGUCCAUUGUGUAAAUUCAGUAUGUCAACAUGAUAAAAUAACUGUAAAUUCGAACAGGUGAGGUUGUGCUGAAAAAAAAAUGAUACCAGGCAAGGCACGUGAUUGUCAAAUUUUGUGUCAAUAUGACAAAGCGUAUAGGCGUGAAUCUCAACAAUAUGUAUUUUCACCUUAGGGGACAAGAAAAAAUGGACUUUUUUCUCCUGCCAUGGGGGGGCGCUCUUUUGGGGAGUAAAAAUUCCUUCACAAAUGUGUUGAUGGCUGGACAUUGCAUCAUCCUAGAAAACUUGGAGGCCAGUGAGGACAAAAAUAAAAAGUUAUAAGACUUUUAAAUAUGUGGAUUUUAGGGUUGUCUUUGGCGCCCCCAAGAACCUAAACCGUGGGGUGCAGCGUCAUGAUUUGAAUAACUUUUAAUGGCCAUGGGGUGUAGAUUGGCCUGAGCAAAUGUGGUGCCGGUGGACAGAAAGCCUUCGGAGGAGUUAGCGAAAUUCCAAUGUGUGCGGAUCGGCAAAAAAUGCGGAAUAACCCUUUAACCGUACAUUUGACAGAUACGCGCGCAUUGACUUUUUCGUAGAUCUUAUUGAGUUACAUGUGUGUGUCAAUUUUUGUGUCAUUUUGACAAAGCGUAUAGGCGUGACACUCAACAAUGUGUAUUUUCACCUUAGGGGACAAGAAAAAAUGGACUUUUUUCUCCUGCCAUGGGGGGGCGCUCUUUUGGGGAGUAAAAAUUCCUUCACAAAUGUGUUGAUGGCUGGACAUUGCAUCAUCCUAGAAAACUUGGAGGCCAGUGAGGACAAAAAUAAAAAGUUAUAAGACUUUUAAAUAUGUGGAUUUUAGUGUUAUCUUUGGCGCCCCCUAGAACCUAAACCUUGGGGUGCAGCGUCAUGAUUUUGAUAACUUUUAAUGGCCACGGGGUGUAGAUUGGCCUGAGCAAAUGUGGUGCCGGUGGAACGAAAGCCUUCGGAGGAGUUAGCGAAAUUCCAAUGUGUGCGGAUCGGCAAAAAAUGCGAAAUAACCCUUUAACCGUAAUUUUGACAGAUACGGCCGCACUGACUUUUUUGUAGAUCUUAUUGAGAUACAUAUGUGUGUCAAUUUUUGUGUCAAUAUGACAAAGCGUACAGGCGUGACAGUCAAUAGUGUGAAUUUCCACCUUAGGGGGCGCUAUGGAGCCAUUUUGCAUUUUAUUGUUUGGGCGACUUCAGAAUAUCAAAUUUUUCACCAGGCCCGGUCGUCCUGCCAAAUUUCAUGAGUUUUCGCCAGUGGGAAGUGGGCCAUUUUCCAGUUCAAAGGGGAGGAAAAAGAAGAAAGAAAGAAAGAACUAGGGCCCCGUUGGGGCACUGGCGGGCCCGAGCUGUGUCGCGCUGCCCCCCCCCCAACGCGCUGCCUCCCCGUCCCAUUCGCUACCUCUGGCCAUCGCCCUCUCUGGUAACGCCCAUCACUGCAAAGACCCUUUCCUUCAUCAGCGUUUGCUGUUCUUCCUGCCAGUGCGUGUUGCUUUCACUUACACUUGCCACAGCCAGCCUCGUGAGUGCCUAGCCUAUUGGAUAUCACUGUCAUCUACACAGGACAGUCAUAACCUUUCUAUUAAUACUUGUUUUUUAAUUUCACAUUAAUUUCAAUAUUGUAUAAAUGACUGGAAAAAACUUGAGCCCCUGCCCCUGUAUAAUCAUGUGCACGUCCCUGUUCUAGCUCCAAGGUGAAUCUUCACUGCUCAUGUUCUCCUCAGAAGUAGUCACCUCACUCCCCUCAGGUGACUAUACACAUGCACCAACUGCCUGCUUCAGGUUUGGAUGGAGCUUCAUGGUUGUCUUUUGGAGAAAUGAGCAGUCAAGUUGUGUUUGAAAUUUGAUUUUUUUCAGGGGCAAAAAGGGGCCUCUGCAUUCUAGUCAAAUAUGUAAAUAGCAUGUUUUUGCAGGUGCUAAAAAAAAGACUCUGAGUGUGUGUGUGUGUAUAUCCUGCAGUACUCUGAGAAGAAUAAUAAGCAUAUUUCUGAGGUGAAUUUUGAAGAUUCAUCUGAGAGUUAGGAGGGCUGAUCAUUCCCUUACCUUUUAGAUGUCUGUCUAUGUCUGUUUUUGUGUGAUAAUGAAAGAAUCCCAACUCAAAAAGGCUCUGUUGAUGUUUUUUUUUUUGUUGUUGUUCAUUCAUAUUCAAACCACUAUUUUAUAUCACUGCUAAUACGCCAAGACCAUUUUAUGGAAUUUAGCUUUAUUAUUUCUAUACAUUUUGCAAGGAAAGAAACCAAGGCCUUCACUAAAAUUUCCAUAAACUUUAGGAAAGGACCUCUGGUUGUUUAACGGGGUCAUUACUGCAAAAACAUAUUCUUCCUAAAUUUUGAAGGUCAAACCUUAGAUCCAUUAGGUUUAAAUAGAAAAAGCAUUAAAAUAUGUUAGGAUUAUAGCAUAUGACAAAUAUGUGCCUUUCAGUGGCCACAACUACUUUGUCUGCUGGCUCUGCAGUCGAUUGACGCUCCCCAGCGUUCAAGUCACAUUACAUAUUUAACCGGAUGUAGCUGCAAGACGGAGCCUCGUUGACUCUCCGUUUCAACUUAUCUCAAAAGUGAGGACCUCAACCUAUAUACCAGUUUUUAAAUUGUGUUGAUAGGCCAAAUAAAACCAGAGUUAUGAUAAAUUAUGUCCGCGAUACUUUUUUUCUGCUUAUUUUGAUCACGUUCGGCGCUCGAUCCCGCUGUAUGAGACAGGAAAACAUAGCAUGCAGACAUUAGCGACAGCUCUUACAGGCGGAAAAGGCUUGCCAAAGGAAAAAAAAAACACACCACAACAUCUCUCCUAUUGGUGGAAAACUUCACCACAACAACCAAUCCAAAAUUAUAUGGUGAGUGAUUGACAAGGGGCGGGCGCUUACGUUCUUCCUGCAACAUGAGAAGGGAGGGAGGGACUCUCAGCAGGGAUGCAGUCUGGGACACGUAGUUGCAAACCUAGCGACUUUGUUGUUAGAUUCAAUGACUUUUCAGACCCCCUAACGACUUUUUUUUAGAAAGAAAGGGACUUUUAUCGACUUCUUCUGGAGUUUAGAGACUCUGACAUGAAGCAGGCUUUCCUUACUGAGGAGUUAGCAACGCUGCUAAGGGUGCAGAGCCACACAUGCGCUCCGAGCUCUGCAUGGGAGACUGAAGCUGACAGAGCUGCAGCAGUUAGCAGGUUUCACCCUCAGAGACCACCAGGGGUUCAUGUUGAGGCAUUUUAAUUUUUUUUUUUUUGUGCCAUAGACACUGUCAGCACAAUCUGCAGUUACACUAACAAAAAUGCUGCAAAAAACAAAGAAUUAUGGAAAAAUUACACAUGGACUGACAUAGAGGAGGAUCUACACAAGUUUUUUACAUCAUGUUUUACAUCAUGCAUCAUUUACAUCAUGUUUUUUUGUAGUGGCAUAAAUAAAAAGUGACAUUUGUGAGACUAUACAGUGUUUUGUAAAUAAUUUUACAAAGAACGCCUGGGCCAUUGCCUGCAUUUUGAUGUAAAUAGAGGUAAAUAACUAUGUUCUUUGUUAAAAAUUUGCAUAUGUUUUGAAGUUUACAAUUUUUAUUUGAAGUUUAAGUUUUAAAAACAGUUCAUCACACAUAAUUGUGGUUUAAUUUCACAUUAAUUUCCAUAUUGUAUAAAUGACUGGAAAAAACUUGAGCCCCUGCCCCUGUAUAAUCAUGUGCACGUCCCUGUUCUAGCUCCAAGGUGAAUCUUCACUGCUCAUGUUCUCCUCAGAAAUAGUCACCUCACUCCCCUCAGGUUACUGUACACAUGCACCAACUAUCUGCUUCAGGUUUGAAAUGGAGCUUCAUGGUUGUCUUUUGGAGAAAUGAACAGUCAAGUUGUGUUUGAAAUUUGAUUUUUUUCAGGGGCAAAAGGAAGCCUCUGCAUUCUUGUCAAAUAUGUAAACAGCAUGUUUUUGCAGGUGCUAAAAAACAGACUCUGAGUGUGUGUGUGUGUCUGUGUGUGUGUGUGUGUGUGUGUGUGUGUGUAUGUUGGCGUGUGUGUAUAUGUGUGUGUAUCCUGCAGUACUCUGUACUCCUGCAGUGGCCAAAAAGACUUUUAAGAAUGUGGAUUUUUGGGUCAUCUUUGGCGCCCCCUAGAACUGCAGUACUCUGUACUCCUGCAGUGGCCAAAAUGACUUUUAAGAAUGUGGAUUUUUGGGUCAUCUUUGGCGCCCCCUAGAACGUAAACCGUGGGGUGCAGCGUCAUGAUUUUUACAACUUUGAAUGGGCAUGGGGUGUAGAUUGCCCUGAGCAAAUUUGGUAUCGGUGGGACGAAAGCCUUAGGAGGAGAUAGCCACAUUCCAAUGUGUGCGAAUCGGCAAAAAAUGCAAAAUAGCCCUUUAACCGUACAUUAUACAGAUACGCGCUCUUUGACUUUUUCGUAGAUCUAAUUGAGAUACACAUGAUUGUCAAUUUUUGUGUCAAUAUGACAAAGCGUUCAGGCGUGACACUCAACAAUGUGUAUUUUUAUGUAAGGGGACAAGAAAAAAUUGACUUUUUUCUCCUACCAUGGGGGGCGCUCUUUUGGGGAGUAAAAAUUCCUUCACAAAUGUGUUGAUGGCUGGACAUUGCAUCAUCCUAGAAAACUUGGAGGCCAGUGAGGACAAAAAUAAAAAGUUAUAAAACAUUUAAGAAUGUGGAUUUUUGGGUUAUUUUUGGCGCCCCCUAGAACCUAAACCAUGGGGUGCAGCAUCAUGAUUUGAAUAACUUUUAAUGGCCAUGGGGUGUAGAUUGGCCUGAGCAAAUGUGGUGCCGGUGGAACGAAAGCCUUCGGAGGAGUUAGCGAAAUUCCAAUGUGUGCGGAUCGGCAAAAAAUGCGGAAUAACCCUUUAACUGUACAUUUGACAGAUACGCGCGCAUGGACUUUUUUGUAGAUCUUAUUGAGUUACAUGUGUGUGUCAAUUUUUGUGUCAUUUUGACAAAGCGUAUAGGCGUGACACUCAACAAUGUGUAUUUUCACCUUAGGGGACAAGAAAAAAUGGACUUUUUUCUCCUGCCAUGGGGGGGCUCUUUUGGGGAGUAAAAAUUCCUUCACAAAUGUGUUGAUGGCUGGACAUUGCAUCAUCCUAGAAAACUUGGAGGCCAGUGAGGACAAAAAUAAAAAGUUAUAAGACUUUUAAAUAUGUGGAUUUUAGUGUUAUCUUUGGCGCCCCCUAGAACCUAAACCUUGGGGUGCAGCGUCAUGAUUUUGAUAACUUUUAAUGGCCACGGGGUGUAGAUUGGCCUGAGCAAAUGUGGUGCCGGUGGAACGAAAGCCUUCGGAGGAGUUAGCGAAAUUCCAAUGUGUGCGGAUCGGCAAAAAAUGCGAAAUAACCCUUUAACCGUAAUUUUGACAGAUACGGCCGCACUGGCUUUUUUGUAGAUCUUAUUGAGAUACAUGUGUGUGUCAAUUUUUGUGUCAAUAUGACAAAGCGUACAGGCGUGACAGUCAAUAGUGUGAAUUUCCACCUUAGGGGGCGCUAUGGAGCCAUUUUGCAUUUUAUUGUUUUGGCGACUUCAGAAUAUCGAAUUUUUCACCAGGCCCUGUCGUCCUGCCAAAUUUCAUGAGUUUUCGCCAGUGGGAAGUGGGCCAUUUUCCAGUUCAAAGGGGAGGAAAAAGAAAAAAGAAAGAAAGAAACAAAGAAAAACCACUUGGGGAAUAAUAGGGCCUACGCCCGGCUGCUCUGCAGCUGGCUCGGGCCCUAACUAGGACCCCGUUGGGGCACUGGCGGGCCCGAGCCGUGUCGCCCCCCCCCCCCCCCCCAACGUGCUUCCUCCCCGUCCCAUUUGUGUCCUCUGGCCAUCGCCCUCUCUGGUAACGCCCAUCACUGCAAAGACCCUUUUCCUUCAUCGGCGUUUGCUGUUCUUCCUGCCAGUGCGUGUUGCUUUCACUUACACUUGCCACAGCCAGCCUCGUGAGUGCCUAGCCUAUUGGAUAUCACUGUCACCUACACAGGACAGUCAUUACCUUUCUAUUAAUACUUUGUGUUUUAAUUUCACAUUAAUUUCCAUAUUGUAUAAACGACUGGAAAAAACUUGAGCCCCUGCCCCUGUAUAAUCAUGUGCAUGUCUCUGUUCUAGCACCAAGGUGAAUCUUCACUGCUCAUGUUCUCCUCAGAAGCACUCACCUCACUCCCCUCAGGUUAUUGUACACAUGCACCAACUGCCUGCUUCAGGUUUGGAUGGAGCUUCAUGGUUGUCUUUUGGAGAAAUGACCAGUCAAGUUGUGUUUGAAAUUUGAUUUUUUUCAGGGGCAAAAGGAGCCUCUGCAUUCUUGUCAAAUAUGUAAAUAGCAUGUUUUUGCAGGUGCUAAAAACCAGACUCUGAUGUGUGUGUGUGUGUGUGUGUGUGUGUGUGUGUGUGUGUGUGUGUGUGUGUGUGUGUGUGUGUGUGCGUGUGUGUGUGUCUGUGUGUGCGUUCAAGUCACAUGACAUAUUUAACCGGAUGUAGCUGCAAGACGGAGCCUCGUUGACUCUCCGUUUCAACUUAUCUCAAAAGUGAGGACCUCAACCUAUAUACCAGUUUUUAAAUUGUGUUGAUAGGCCAAAUAAAACCAAAGUUAUGAUAAAUUAUGUCCGCGAUACUUUUUUUCUGCUUAUUUUGAUCACGUUCGGCGCUCGAUCGCGCUGUAUGAGACAGGAAAACAUAGCAUGCAGACAUUAGCGACAGGUCUUACAGGCGGAAAAGGCUUGCCAAAAGAAAAAAAAAACACACCACAACAUCUCUCCUAUUGGUGGAAAACUUCACCACAACAACCAAUCCAAAAUUAUAUGGUGACUGAAUGACAAGGGGUGGGCGCUUACGUUCUUCCUGCAACAUGAGAAGGGAGGGAGGGACUCUCAGCAGGGAUGCAGUCUGGGACACGUAGUUGCAAACCUAGCGACUUUGUUGUUAGAUUCAAUGACUUUUCAGACCCCCUAACGACUUUUUUUAGAAAGAAAGGGACUUUUAUCGACUUCUUCUGGAGUUUAGAGACUCUGACAUGAAGCAGGCUUUCCUUACUGAGGAGUUAGCAACGCUGCUAAGGGUGCAGAGCCACACAUGCGCUCAGAGCUCUGCAUGGGAGACUGAAGCUGACAGAGCUGCAGCAGUUAGCAGGUUUCACCCUCAGAGACCACCAGGGGUUCAUGUUGAGGAAUUUUAAUUUUUUUCUUUUUUGUGCCAUAGACACUGUCAGCACAAUCUGCAGUUACACUAACAAAAAUGCUGCAAAAAACAAAGAAUUAUGGAAAAAUUACACAUGGACUGACAUAGAGGAGGAUCUACACAAGUUUUUUACAUCAUGUUUUACAUCAUGCAUCAUUUACAUCAUGUUUUUUUGUAGUGGCAUAAAUAAAAAGUGACAUUUGUGAGACUAUACAGUGUUUUGUAAAUAAUUUUACAAAGAACGCCUGGGCCAUUGCCUGCAUUUUGAUGUAAAUAGAGGUAAAUCACUAUGUUCUUUGUUAAAAAUUUGCAUAUGUUUUGAAGUUUACAAUUUUUAUUUGAAGUUUAAGUUUUAAAAACAGUUCAUCACACCUAUUUGUGGUUUUCACAGUAAAAAUGUUACUUUUUCCACUCGGAUUUUAUGUUUUGUGUGUGAAUUUGGGUCCAUUGUGUAAAUUCAGUAUGUCAACAUGAUAAAAUAACUGUAAAUUCGCACAGGUGAGGUUGUGCUGAAAAAAAUGAUACCAGGCAAGGCACGUGAUUGUCAAAUUUUGUGUCAAUAUGACAAAGCGUAUAGGCGUGAAUCUCAACAAUAUGUAUUUUCACCUUAGGGGACAAGAAAAAAUGGACUUUUUUCUCCUGCCAUGGGGAGGCGCUCUUUUGGGGAGUAAAAAUUCCUUCACAAAUGUGUUGAUGGCUGGACAUUGCAUCAUCCUAGAAAACUUGGAGGCCAGUGAGGACAAAAAUAAAAAGUUAUAAGACUUUUAAAUAUGUGGAUUUUAGGGUUGUCUUUGGCGCCCCCUAGAACCUAAACCGUGGGGUGCAGCGUCAUGAUUUGAAUAACUUUUAAUGGCCAUGGGGUGUAGAUUGGCCUGAGCAAAUGUGGUGCCGGUGGACAGAAAGCCUUCGGAGGAGUUAGCGAAAUUCCAAUGUGUGCGGAUCGGCAAAAAAUGCGGAAUAACCCUUUAACCGUACAUUUGACAGAUACGCGCGCAUUGACUUUUUCGUAGAUCUUAUUGAGAUACACGUGAUUGUCAAAUUUUGUGUCAAUAUGACAAAGCGUAUAGGCGUGACACUCAACAAUGUGUAUUUUCACCUUAGGGGACAAGAAAAAAUGGACUUUUUUCUCCUGCCAUGGGGGGGCGCUCUUUUGGGGAGUAAAAAUUCCUUCACAAAUGUGUUGAUGGCUGGACAUUGCAUCAUCCUAGAAAACUUGGAGGCCAGUGAGGACAAAAUUAAAAAGUUAUAAGACUUUUAAAUAUGUGGAUUUUAGUGUUAUCUUUGGCGCCCCCUAGAACCUAAACCUUGGGGUGCAGCGUCAUGAUUUUGAUAACUUUUAAUGGCCACGGGGUGUAGAUUGGCCUGAGCAAAUGUGGUGCCGGUGGAACGAAAGCCUUCGGAGGAGUUAGCGAAAUUCCAAUGUGUGCGGAUCGGCAAAAAAUGCGAAAUAACCCUUUAACCGUAAUUUUGACAGAUACGGCCGCACUGACUUUUUUGUAGAUCUUAUUGAGAUACAUAUGUGUGUCAAUUUUUGUGUCAAUAUGACAAAGCGUACAGGCGUGACAGUCAAUAGUGUGAAUUUUCACCUUAGGGGGCGCUAUGGAGCCAUUUUGCAUUUUAUUGUUUGGGCGACUUCAGAAUAUCAAAUUUUUCACCAGGCCCGGUCGUCCUGCCAAAUUUCAUGAGUUUUCGCCAGUGGGAAGUGGGCCAUUUUCCAGUUCAAAGGGGAGGAAAAAGAAACUAGGGCCCCGGUGGGGCACUGUCGGGCCCGAGCCGCGUCGCGCCGCCCCCAGCGCGACCGCCUCCCCCUCCCGAUCGCAUCACACUCAAGGUCCAAAGAUGGUGUCCGCACUUGUCUGUGGUCAUUUCCCAUUAUAAUGAAUGGGAGGCGCAGUUUCUACAAAAACGGUCGCUGCAGACAAACUACAUGUCCUAUUUGAAAAAAGUCUGGACCAUGAGUGAGGGCACAAACACAGCUAGGAUAUAUCCAAAUGGCAAGUUGCUCCUCCUUACGGUGUUGCCAGGAGAGCGAUGCGAUUGAGCCAUUGAGCGAUGGGCAGGGUUAACUGGACUUUUUCUCCUGCCUUGGUGGGGGGGGAUGUGGAUUCUUUUAAGAAUGUGGAUAUUUGGGUCAUCUUUGGCGCCCCCUAGAACGUAAACCAUGGGGUGCAGCGGCAUGAUUUUUACAACUUUGAAUGGCCAUGGGAUGUAGAUCGGCUAGAGCAAAUUUGGUGUUGGUGGGAAGAAAGCUUUAGGAGGAGUUAGCCACAUUCCAAUGUGUGCGAAUCGGCAAAAAAUGCGAAACAGCCCUUUAACCGUACAUUUUACAGAUACGUGCCCAUUGACUUUUUCGUAGAUCUUAUUGAGAUACACGUGUGUGUCAAAUUUUGUGUCAUUUUGACAAAGCGUAUAGGCGUGACAGUCAACAAUGUGUUAUUUCACCUUAGGGGACAAGAAAAAAUGGACUUUUUUCUCCUGCCAUGGGGGGGGCGCUCUUUUCGGGAGUAAAAAUUCCUUCACAAAUGUGUUGAUGGCUGGACAUUGCAUCAUCCUAGAAAACUUGGAGGCCAGUGAGUACAAAAAUAAAAAGUUAUAAGACUAUUAAGAAUGUGGAUUUUUGGGUUAUCUUUGGCGCCCCCUAGAACCUAAACUGUGGAGUGCAGCGUCAUGAUUUGUACAACUUUUAAUGGCCAUGGGGUGUAGAUUGGCCUGAGCAAAUUUGGUGGCGGUGGAACUAAAGCCUUAGGAGGAGUUAGCGAAAUUCCAAUGUGUGCGGAUCGGGAAAAAAUGCGAAAUAACCCUUUAACCGUACAUUUUACAGAUACGUGCCCAUUGACUUUUUCGUAGAUCUUAUUGAGAUACACGUGAUUGUCAAAUUUUGGGUCAAUAUGACAAAGUGUAUAGGCGUGACACUCAACAAUGUGUAUUUUCACCUUAGGGGACAAGAAAAAAUGGACUUUUUUCUCCUGCCAUGUGGGGGCGCUCUUUUGGGGAGUAAAAAUUCCUUCACAAAUGUGUUGAUGGCUGGACAUUGCAUCAUCCUAGAGAACUUGGAGGCCAGUGAGGACAAAAAUAAAAAGUUAUAAGACUUUUAAGACUGUGGAUUUUUGGGUUAUCUUUGGCGCCCCCUAGAACGUAAACUGUGGGGUGCAGCGUCAUGAUUUGUACAACUUUGAAUGGCCAUGGGGUGUAGAUUGGCCUGAGCAAAUGUGGUGCCGGUGGAACGAAUGCCUUCGGAGGAGUUAGCGAAAUUCCAAUGUGUGCAGAUCGGCAAAAAAUGCGAAAUAACCCUCUAACCGUACAUUUCACAGAUGCGCCCGCGCUGACUUUUUCGUAGACCGUAUUGAGAUACACGUGUGUGUCAAUUUUUGUGUCAAUAUGACAAAGCGUACAGGCGUGACAGUCAAUAGUGUGAAUUUUCGCCUUAGGGGGCGCUAUGGAGCCAUUUUGCAUUUUAUUGUUUGGGCGACUUCAGAAUAUCGAAUUUUUCACCAGGCCCGGUCGUCCUGCCAAAUUUCAUGAGUUUUCGCCAGUGGGAAGUGGGCCAUUUUCCAGUUUAAAGCGGAGGAAAAAUAAUAACUAGGGCCCCGGUGGGGCACUGUCGGGCCCGAGCCGCGUCGCGCCACCCCCAGUGCGUCCGCCUCCCCCUCCCGAUCGCGUCACACUCAAGGUCCAAAGAUGGUGUGCGCACUUGUCUGUGGUCAUUUCCCAUUAUAAUGAAUGGAGGCGCAGUUUCUACCAAAACACUCGCUGCAGACAAACUACAUGUCCUAUUUGAAAAAAGUCUGGACCAUGAGUGAGGGCACAAACACAGCUAGGAUAUAUCCAAAUGGCAAGUUGCUCCUCCUUACGGUGUUGCUGGGAGAGCGAUGCGAUUGAGCCAUUGACCGAUGGGCAGGGUUAACUUGACUUUUUCUCCUGCCUUCUUUUAAGAAUGUGGAUAUUUGGGUCAUCUUUGGCGCCCCCUAGAACGUAAACCGUGGGGAGCAGCGUCAUGAUUUCUACAACUUUGAAUGGCCAUGGGAUGUAGAUCGGCUUGAGCAAAUUUGGUGUUGGUGGGACGAAAGCCUUAGGAGGAGUUAGCCACAUUCCAAUGUGUGCGAAUCGGCAAAAAAUGCGAAAUAGCUCUUUAACCGUACAUUUUACAGAUACGUGCCCAUUGACUUUUUCGUAGAUCUUAUUGAGAUACACGUGUGUGUCAAAUUUUGUGUCAUUUUGACAAAGUGUAUAGGCGUGACAGUCAACAAUGUGUUUUUUCACCUUAGGGGACAAGAAAAAAUGGACUCUUUUCUCCUGCCAUGGGGGGGCGCUCUUUUUCGGGAGUAAAAAUUCCUUUACAAAUGUGUUGAUGGCUGGACAUUGCAUCAUCCUAGAAAACUUGGAGGCCAGUGAGGAAAAAAAUAAAAAGUUAUAACACUUUUAAGAAUGUGGAUUUUUUGGUUAUCUUUGGCGCCCCCUAGAACCUAAACCGUGGGGUGCAGCGUCAUGAUUUGUACAACUUUCGAUGGCCAUGGGGUGUAGAUUGGCCUGAGCAAAUGUGGUGCCGGUGGAACGAAAGCCUUCGCAGGAGUUAGCGAAAUUUCAAUGUGUGCGGAUCGGCAAAAAAUGCGAAAUAACCCUUUAACCGUACAUUUGACAGAUACGCCCGCACUGACUUUUUUGUAGAUCUUAUUGAGAUACAUGUGUGUGUCAAUUUUUGUGUCAAAAUGGCAAAGCGUACAGGCGUGACAGUCAACAGUGUGAAUUUCCACCUUAGGGGGCGCUAUGGAGCCAUUUUGCAUUUUAUUGUUUGGGCGACUUCAGAAUAUCGAAUUUUUCACCAGGCCCGGUCGUCCUGCCAAAUUUCAUGAGUUUUCGCCAGUGGGAAGUGGGCCAUUUUCCAGUUUAAAGCGGAGGAAAAAUAAUAACUAGGGCCCCGUUGGGGCACUGGCGGGCCCGAGCUGUGUCACGCCGCCCCCAACACGACCGCCUCUCCCUCCCGAUCGCGUCACACUCAAGGUUCAACGAUGGUGUGCGCACUUGUCUGUGGUCAUUUACCAUUAUAAUGAAUGGGAGGCGCAGUUUUUACCAAAACGCUUGCUGCAGACAAACUACAUGUCCUAUUUGAAAAAAGUCUGGACCAUGAGUGAGGGCACAAACACAGCUAGGAUAUAUCCAAAUGGCAAGUUCCUCCUCCUUUCGUUUUUUUCCGAGAGAGCGAUGUGUUUGAGCCAUUGAGCGAUGGGCAGGAAAAACUUGACUUUUUCUCCUGCCAUGGGGGGGCACUCUUUUAGGGAGAAAAAAUUCCUUCACAAAUGUGUUGAUGGCUAGACAUUGCAUCAUCCUAGAAAACUUUGAAGCCAGUGAGGACAAAAAUGAAAAGUUAUAAGACUUUUAAGAAUGUGGAUUUUUGGGUUAUCUUUGGCGACCCCUAGAACGUAAACCGUGGGGUGCAGCAUCAUGAUUUGUACAACUUUUAAUGGCCAUGGGGUGUAGAUUGGCCUGAGCAAAUUUGGUGCCGGUGGAACGAAAGCUUUAGGAGGAGUUAGCCACAUUCCAAUGUGUGCGAAUCAACCAAAAAUGCGAAAUAGCCCUUUAACCGUACAUUUUGCAGACACGUGCACAUUGACUUUUUCGUAGAUCUUAUUGAGAUACACGUGAUUAUCAAAUUUUGUUUCAAUAUGACAAAGCGUACAGGCGUGACACUCAACAAUGUGUAUUUUCACCUUAUAGGACAAGAAAAAAUGGCCUUUUUUCUCCUGCCAUGGGGGGGCGCUCUUUUGGGGAGUAAAAAUUCCUUCACAAAUGUGUUGAUGGCUGGACAUUGCAUCAUCCUAGAGAACUUGGAGGCCAGUGAGGACAAAAAUAAAAAGUUAUAACACUUUUAAGAAUAUGGAUAUUUGGGUCAUCUUUGGCGCCCCCUAGAACGUAAACCGUGGGGUGCAGCGUCAUGAUUUUUACAACUUUGAAUGGCCAUGGGGUGUAGAUUGGCCUGAGCAAAUUUGGUGUCAGUGGGACGAAAGCUGUAGGACGAGUUAGCCACAUUCCAAUGUGUGCGAAUCAGCAAAAAAUGCAAAAUAGCCCUUUAACCGUACAUUUUACAGAUACGUGCCCAUUGACUUUUUCGUAGAUCUUAUUGAGAUACAUGUGUGUGUCAAUUUUUGUGUCAAUAUGACAAAGCGUACAGGCGUGACAGUCAACAAUGUGUAUUUUCACCUUAGGGGACAAGAAAAAAUGGACUUUUUUCUCCUGCCAUGUGGGGGCGCUCUUUUGGGGAGUAAAAAUUCCUUCACAAAUGUGUUGAUGGCUGGACAUUGCAUCAUCCUAGAGAACUUGGAGGCCAGUGAGGAAAAAAAUAAAAAGUUAUAACACUUUUAAGAAUGUGGAUUUUUGGUUAUCUUUGGCGCCCCCUAGAACCUAAACCGUGGGGUGCAGCGUCAUGAUUUGUACAACUUUCGAUGGCCAUGGGGUGUAGAUUGGCCUGAGCAAAUGUGGUGCCGGUGGAACGAAAGCCUUCGGAGGAGUUAGCGAAAUUUCAAUGUGUGCGGAUCGGCAAAAAAUGCGAAAUAACCCUUUAACCGUACAUUUGACAGAUACGCCCGCACUGACUUUUUUGUAGAUCUUAUUGAGAUACAUGUGUGUGUCAAUUUUUGUGUCAAAAUGGCAAAGCGUACAGGCGUGACAGUCAACAGUGUGAAUUUCCACCUUAGGGGGCGCUAUGGAGCCAUUUUGCAUUUUAUUGUUUGGGCGACUUCAGAAUAUCGAAUUUUUCACCAGGCCCGGUCGUCCUGCCAAAUUUCAUGAGUCUCCGCCAGUGGGAAGUGGGCCAUUUUCCAGUUUAAAGCGGAGGAAAAAUAAUAACUAGGGCCCCGUUGGGGCACUGGCGGGCCCGAGCUGUGUCACGCCGCCCCCAACACGACCGCCUCUCCCUCCCGAUCGCGUCACACUCAAGGUUCAACGAUGGUGUGCGCACUUGUCUGUGGUCAUUUACCAUUAUAAUGAAUGGGAGGCGCAGUUUUUACCAAAACGCUUGCUGCAGACAAACUACAUGUCCUAUUUGAAAAAAGUCUGGACCAUGAGUGAGGGCACAAACACAGCUAGGAUAUAUCCAAAUGGCAAGUUCCUCCUCCUUUCGUUUUUUUCCGAGAGAGCGAUGUGUUUGAGCCAUUGAGCGAUGGGCAGGAAAAACUUGACUUUUUCUCCUGCCAUGGGGGGGCACUCUUUUAGGGAGAAAAAUUCCUUCACAAAUGUGUUGAUGGCUAGACAUUGCAUCAUCCUAGAAAACUUUGAAGCCAGUGAGGACAAAAAUGAAAAGUUAUAAGACUUUUAAGAAUGUGGAUUUUUGGGUUAUCUUUGGCGACCCCUAGAACGUAAACCGUGGGGUGCAGCAUCAUGAUUUGUACAACUUUUAAUGGCCAUGGGGUGUAGAUUGGCCUGAGCAAAUUUGGUGCCGGUGGAACGAAAGCUUUAGGAGGAGUUAGCCACAUUCCAAUGUGUGCGAAUCAACCAAAAAUGCGAAAUAGCCCUUUAACCGUACAUUUUGCAGACACGUGCACAUUGACUUUUUCGUAGAUCUUAUUGAGAUACACGUGAUUAUCAAAUUUUGUUUCAAUAUGACAAAGCGUACAGGCGUGACACUCAACAAUGUGUAUUUUCACCUUAUAGGACAAGAAAAAAUGGCCUUUUUUCUCCUGCCAUGGGGGGGCGCUCUUUUGGGGAGUAAAAAUUCCUUCACAAAUGUGUUGAUGGCUGGACAUUGCAUCAUCCUAGAGAACUUGGAGGCCAGUGAGGACAAAAAUAAAAAGUUAUAAGACUUUUAAGAAUGUGGAUUUUUGGGUUAUCUUUGGCGCCCCCUACAACCUAAACCGUGGGGUGCAGCGUCAUGAUUUGUACAACUUUGAAUGGCCAUGGGGUGUAGAUUGGCCUGAGCAAAUUUGGUGCCGGUGGAACGAAAGCCUUCGGAGGAGUUAGCGAAAUUCCAAUGUGUGUGGAUCGGCAAAAAAUGCGAAAUAACCCUUUAACCGUACAUUUGACAGAUACACCCACACUGACUUUUUUGUAGAUCGUAUUGAGAUACAUGUGUGUGUCAAUUUUUGUGUCAAUAUGACAAAGCGUACAGGCGUGACAGUCAAUAGUGUGAAUUUCCACCUUAGGGGGCGCUAUGGAGCCAUUUUGCAUUUUAUUGUUUGGGCGACUUCAGAAUAUCGAAUUUUUCACCAGGCCCGGUCAUCCUGCCAAAUGUCAUGAGUUUUCGCCAGUGGGAAGUGGGCCAUUUUCCCCUUCAAAGGGGAGGAAAAAUAAGAAGAAAGAAAGAAAGAAAGAAAGAAAGAAGAAAGAAAAACUCAUCAGGAAUAAUAGGGCUCUACGCCCGGCUGCUCUGCAGCUGGCUCGGGCCCUAAUAAUAACAAAAGAAGAAUCCAUCAGGAACAAGAGGGCUCUCGCAGCUGCUUAGCAGCUACGCUCGGGCCCUAAAAAGAAAGAAAGAAACAAAGAAAAACCACUUGGGGAAUAAUAGGGCCUACGCCCGGCUGCUCUGCAGCUGGCUCGGGCCCUAAAGAAAGAAACAAAGAAAAACCACUUGGGGAAUAAUAGGGCCUACGCCCGGCUGCUCUGCAGCUGGCUCGGGCCCUAAAGAAGGAAACAUGCAGGAACAAGAGGGCUCUCGCAGCUGCUUAGCAGCUACGCUCGGGCCCUAAUAAUAACAAAAGAAGGAAACAUGCAGGAACAAGAGGGCUCUCGCAGCUGCUUAGCAGCUACGCUCGGGCCCUAAAAACCUAUACAGGAACUAGGACCCCGUUGGGGCACUGGCGGGCCCGAGCUGUGUCGCGUCCCCCCCCCAACGCGCUGCCUCCCCGUCCCAUUUGUGUCCUCUGGCCAUCGCCCUCUCUGGUAACGCCCAUCACUGCAAAGACCCUUUUCCUUCAUCGGCGUUUGCUGUUCUUCCUGCCAGUGCGUGUUGCUUUCACUUACACUUGCCACAGCCAGCCUCGUGAGUGCCUAGCCUAUUGGAUAUCACUGUCACCUACACAGGACAGUCAUUACCUUUCUAUUAAUACUUUGUUUUUUAAUUUCACAUUAAUUUCCAUAUUGUAUAAACAACUGGAAAAAACUUGAGCCCCUGCCCCUGUAUAAUCAUGUGCACGUCUCUGUUCUAGCUCUAAGGUGAAUCUUCACUGCUCAUGUUCUCCUCAGAAGCACUCACCUCACUCCCCUCAGGUUACUGUACACAUGCACCAACUGCCUGCUUCAGGUUUGGAUGGAGCUUCAUGGUUGUCUUUUGGAGAAAUGACCAGUCAAGUUGUGUUUGAAAUUUGAUUUUUUUCAGGGGCAAAAGGAGCCUCUGCAUUCUUGUCAAAUAUGUAAAUAGCAUGUUUUUGCAGGUGCUAAAAACCAGACUCUGAGUGUGUGUGUGUGCGUGUGUGUGUGUGUCUGUGUGUGUGUGUGUGUGUGUGUGUGCGUUCAAGUCACAUGACAUAUUUAACCGGAUGUAGCUGCAAGACAGAGCCUCGUUGACUCUCCGUUUCAAUUUAUCUCAAAAGUGAGGACCUCAACCUAUAUACCAGUUUUUAAAUUGUGUUGAUAGGCCAAAUAAAACCAGAGUUAUGAUAAAUUAUGUCCGCGAUACUUGUUUUCUGCUUAUUUUGAUCACGUUCGGCGCUCGAUCGCGCUGUAUGAGACAAGAAAACAUAGCAUGCAGACAUUAGCGACAGGUCUUACAGGCGGAAAAGGCUUGCCAAAGGAAAAAAAAAACACACCACAACAUCUCUCCUAUUGGUGGAAAACUUCACCACAACAACCAAUCUAAAAUUAUAUGGUGACUGAUUGACAAGGGGCGGGAACUUACGUUCUUCCUGCAAUAUGAGAAGGGAGGGAGGGACUCUCAGCAGGGAUGCAGUCUGGGACACGUAGUUGCAAACCUAGCGACUUUGUUGUUAGAUUCAAUGACUUUUCAGACCCCCUAACGACUUUUUUAGAAAGAAAGUGACUUUUAUCGACUUCUUCUGGAGUUUAGAGACUCUGACAUGAAGCAGGCUUUCCUUACUGAGGAGUUAGCAACACUGCUAAGGGUGCAGAGCCACACAUGCGCUCCGAGCUCUGCAUGGGAGACUGAAGCUGACAGAGCUGCAGCAGUUAGCAGGUUUCACCCUCAGAGACCACCAGGGGUUCAUGUUGAGGCAUUUUCAGUUUUUUUUUUUUUUUUUUGCCAUAGACACUGUCAGCACAAUCUGCAGUUACACUAACAAAAAUGCUGCAAAAAACAAAGAAUUAUGGAAAAAUUACACAUGGACUGACAUAGAGGAGGAUCUACACAAGUUUUUUACAUCAUGUUUUACAUCAUGCAUCAUUUACAUCAUGUUUUUUUGUAGUGGCAUAAAUAAAAAGUGACAUUUGUGAGACUAUACAGUGUUUUGUAAAUAAUUUUACAAAGAACACCUGGGCCAUUGCCUGCAUUUUGAUGUCAAUAGAGGUAAAUUACUAUGUUCUUUGUUAAAAAUUUGCAUAUGUUUUGAAGUUUACAAUUUUUAUUUGAAGUUUAAGUUUUAAAAACAGUUCAUCACACAUAUUUGUGGUUUUCACAGUAAAAACGUUACUUUUUUCCACUCGGAUUUUAUGUUUUUUGUGUGAAUUUGGGUCCAAUGUGUAAAUAUAGUAUGUCAAAAUGAUAAAAUAACUGUAAAUUGACACAGGUGAGGUUGUGCUGAAAAAAAUGAUACCAGGCAAGGCAAGGUAAAAAUUUUGUAAGAGGAAAUAUAAAGGUAAAAUCUAAAGUAGUCAAAAACGGCCAAUAGUGACUCACAGACUCCACAGACAAGUCCCUUUGGCGCCACUCAGUGGGCAAAACUACUUUGUCUACUGUAAUGUAUAUUUGGGUCAUCUUUGGCGCCCCCUAAAACGUAAACCGUGGGGUGCAGCGUCAUGAUUUUUACAACUUUGAAUGGCCAUGGGGUGUAGAUUGGCCUGAGCAAAUUUGGUGUCAGUGGGACGAAGGCCUUAGGAGGAGUUAGCGAAAUUCCAAUGUGUGCGAAUUGGCAAAAAAUGCAAAAUAGCCCUUUUACCGUACAUUAUACAGAUACGCGCUCUUUGACUUUUUCGUAGAUCUAAUUGAGAUACACAUGAUUGUCAAUUUUUGUGUCAUUUUGCCAAAGCGUACAGGCGUGACAGUCAACAAUGUGUAUUUUCACCUUAGGGGACAAGAAAAAAUGGACUUUUUUCUCCUGCCAUGGGGGGGCGCUCUUUUAGGGAGUAAAAAUUCCUUCACAAAUGUGUUGAUGGCUGGACAUUGCAUCAUCCUAGAAAACUUGGAGGCCAGUGAGGACAAAAAUAAAAAGUUAAAAGACUUUUAAAAAUGUGGAUUUUUGGGUUAUCUUUGGCGCCCCCUAGAACGUAAACCGUGGGGUGCAGCGUCAUGAUUUGAAUAACUUUUAAUGGCCAUGGGGUGUAAUUUGGCCUGAGCAAAUGUGGUGCCGGUGGAACGAAAGCCUUCGGAGGAGUUAGCGAAAUUCCAAUGUGUGCGAAUCGGCAAAAAAUGCGGAAUAACCCUUUAACCGUACAUUAGACAGAUACGCGCGCAUGGACUUUUUUGUAGAUCUUAUUGAGAUACAUGUGUGUGUCAAUUUUUGUGUCAUUUUGCCAAAGCGUACAGGCGUGACACUCAACAAUGUGUAUUUUCACCUUAGGGGACAAGAAAAAAUGGACUUUUUUCUCCUGCCAUGGGGGGGCGCUCUUUUGGGGAGUAAAAAUUCCUUCACAAAUGUGUUGAUGGCUGGACAUUGCAUCAUCCUAGAAAACUUGGAGGCCAGUGAGGGCAAAAAUAAAAAGUUAUAAGACUUUUAAAAAUGUGGAUUUUAGGGUUAUCUUUGGCGCCCCCUAGAACCUAAACCGUGGGGUGCAGCGUCAUGAUUUGAAUAACUUUUAAUGGCCAUGGGGUGUAGAUUGGCCUGAGCAAAUGUGGUGCCGGUGGAACGAAAGCCUUCGGAGGAGUUAGCGAAAUUCCAAUGUGUGCGAAUCUGCAAAAAAUGCGAAAUAGCCCUUUAGUUGUACAUUGAUCAUGACAGACAAACGCGCAUUGACUUUUUCGUAGAUCUUAUUGAGAUACACGUGUGUGUCAAUUUUUGUGUCAAUAUGACAAAGUGUACAGGCGUAACACUCAAUAGUGUGAAUUUUCACCUUAGGGGGCGCUAUGGAGCCAUUUUGCAUAUUAUUUUUUCGGCAACUUCAGAAUAUCGAAUUUUUCACCAGGCCCGGUCGUCCUGCCAAAUUUCAUGAGUUUUCGCCAGUGGGAAGUGGGCCAUUUUCCCCUUCAAAGGGGAGGAAAAAUAAGAAAGAAAGAAAAACCUAUACAGGAAUAAUAGGGCCUACGCCACUGCGUUGCAGGUGGCUCGGGCCCUAAGAAAGAAACAAAGAAGAACCCAUACAGGAAUAAUAGGGCUCUACGCCCGGCUGCUCUGCAGCUGGCUCGGGCCCUAAGAAAGAAAGAAUGAAGAAAGAAAAACUCAUACAGGAAUAAUAGGGCCUAUGCCACUGCGUUGCAGGUGGCUCGGGCCCUAAAGAAAGAAAGAAGAAAGAAGAACCCAUCGAGGAACAAGAGGGCUCUCGCAGCUGCUUAGCAGCUACGCUCGGGCCCUAAGAAAGAAAGAACUAGGGCCCCGUUGGGGCACUGGCGGGCCCGAGCCGUGUCGCCAUGAUUGUGUGACCUUGGUAUCGGCUACUUGGGAAGUUCCAUUGUCGUGGCAAAGCUUUGUUUGCGUGCUGUGCUCAACCACUUGUUUUCUAUCGAUGUGUAAGUAAACGACUUUCUUUUCUUACACAAUGACACACUCAUACUUAUCAUUCACUGCUACUGAUGUGCUCUGUUAGGAUGCAUGCAGGAAACCUGAUGAAUGAAGAAAUGCCCAGACUAGCCAACAUCUUAAUAAAUUAUGGGGUAUGACAUCACUUGAAUGGUUUCAUUGGACUAUGCUUUCAUUAUUCUAAUUCUGUAAUAAAAAGAAAUGUUGUCCAAAAAGACUGUUGUUGUUAUUUCUUCUAAUAAUGAACAUAGUUAAUAUAAUAAACAUUCAAUAUGUGCUCAUUACACACGUGUACAUUCUUUGAUGAUCCGUGAAGCAGAGCGUGAGAGACAGUAGGAGCAGCCGAACUGUAUCUCAAACUGUGACGUCACAGUCAAGGGCUGUGUUUCAUUUUAGAGAUUGCAGCGGGCUAAGUGCACUUCUGCACUGUUGAAUGGUGCAUUGAAGUGUGCAUGACAUCACGACGGUGCGUAUGGUGUCUCAUUUGGCAUGAGAUGGUAAGAAAUGUUAAGUGCGCUUAGCAUCUUUCAAGCGUGCAUGCUUUAGUUUUGUUGGUUUUCCAGAAUGCUGUGUGUGUUGCUGCACAGCUGUGCAUUUCAGGUGAGAGGCUGGAUUUGCUUGGAAACACAGUGUAGCUUAAAAGAAAGCACAAGAAAUCCAAAAACAGCAGAGAGUCAACUCAGGCUAUCUGAGAUCAUGAUGUCUGAGCUCACGAAAAUCUGUAAACCAAACACUAUAGAUUUAGAGACAAAUGAUCUGCUCUGAUUUAACAAUUAAAAACAUUAGAAAUAAGAAAGCUGACACAACUACAGCAGAGGAUUAGGACAUCAUUUAUGUUUUUUAUUCUUUUAAGGUUUAGAGAUUAAAGUUGUAUAUUUAGGAGAAAGAAGUCAUAAGGUAUUGAAAGUCAUAAAGGUGCCUUUGUGAAGGGGGAAAUUACUGAAGCUGGUUAUGUGCAGGUUUAUUUGUGGAUGUAGGAAACAAUCAAACUGAUGAUGAUCAACAUUUGUGAUGCAGAGGGAGUUGAGUUUCGAUGAGCACCACGUUUCAGGCAUUGGUGGUAAUUUAUGCCUGCAGUGACAUCAACACCUUAUUUUGGCAUAUGGAUUCAUAUCAUAAAGUAAAGUUCAAUGUCAUUCACAGAUAUUCACGGCUGCAUUGACAGAUGUAUCCUUAGCAUAUUAAUUUCUGCCUUACAAAAGCUGCAUUUCCUUCAAGUACACCAGUUUUUUUCCCUGUAAGAAAGAUGUGUUUCUCAGAUAUUCUUUUUUAAGUCUUUAUAUGUAUGACAAAGUGAUGCUGAUGUGCCAGAGGAUGAAGUAUCUCCUUUUUUGUGAAACAUUUUCUGAAGCACAGUUCUUUCAAAUGCUUCAUGGCCCUAAUUUUAACAAGUCUUCUCUGAAAUAACAGGGAACCUUAUGAUUUUAUUCUCAUAAAUUAAUGACGUUACGAUCGUAAAUGCACGACUUAAAUUUUGAAGUCUUUUAGGUCUUAAAUUUCAAUAUGGCCAUCAUACUCUUUCAUACAAUGUAUGAGAAAAAAGUCAUUAAUUUAUGACAAAAAAGUUUUAAAGUUGCGUUUUAUAAUAGAGGACACUUGUUAAAAUUAGGGCCAUGAAGCAUUUGAAGGAAUUGUGAUUCAGUAUAGGUUUCACAAACAAGGAGAUACUUCAUCCUCUGUCACAUCAGCAUAACAUUGGUAUAAGUAUAAAGACUUAAAAAAGAAUAUAUAAGAACUAGUGGUUUUUCACGUGGAAAAAAAAAACAGGUGUACUAGAAGGAAAUUGCUAGUUUUGUGGAGUCAGAAAUGAAUAUGCUGAGGGUAUAUUUGUUCAUGCAGUUGUAAAUAUUCGUGGAUGACAUUGGGCUUUAGUUUAUGAUAUGAAUCCAUAUGCCAUAAGGUGUUGUUGUCUCUGCAGGUGUAGGCUAGUGAUGGUGUCAGAGAUGUGGUACUCCUCUGAGCUUGACCCACUCUGGAUCACAAAUGUUGAUCAUCAUCAGUUUGAUUGUCUGUACAGAAACCACUAGAAGUCUGUGAAUUACCCGCUGAUACAUCGAGCGGUAACCCUGCAGAUGGCCAGGUUCAGUCAUUUCCUCCUCCACAAAAGUAGUUUUAUGACUUUAUAUACCUUAUGACUUUAUUGUGCUAAAUUUACAAUUUUAAUAUCUAAAUCUUAAAAGAAAGACAACUUAAUGUUGUCUUGAUACUCUGCUGUAGUUGUGUCAGCCUUUUUUAUUUAUGUUUUUGAUUGUUGUAGUAGAGCGGAUCAGUUGUCUUGAAAUAUGUUUGGUUUACAGAUUUUAGUGAGUUUAGAGAUUAGCUCUCAUACAGUCUGAGAUGAUUGUGUAGUUUGUAGAUUUGUUGUAUUUUCUUUGAAGAUGCCCUGUGUCUCCAAGCGAGUCCAGUUUCUCACCUGAAAUGUGAAGCUUUGCAGCAGCAUGCCAAGUAUCUACCAAAACGCUUGCUAAAAAAGAACUUUGUGAUCAAUAAUACAGCCAGGAUAAAUUUUGUUCCUGUAGUGCCACUCAGUGGCCAAAAAAAAAGGCAGUACAUUUGUCUGUACAUCUGAUAACAAAGUAGACAGUCCACUAUUGGAAUACAAACUUCUCACUGAAAGUCAGUACAAUAACUCAAGAUGUUUGAAUGGUAAAAUGAAGUAAUUCAUGUACAAGCACAGUGGAUAAUUUGUAAUAUAAAUAAAUGAUUAGACAUGAUUUAUUUUAUUUAUUAUUUAUUUAGUUAUCAGGGACAGUGCACAGUGAUAAACAUGUCAAUUAAUAAAGUUAAAAGGCAUGUAAAUGCACCAGAGUUAACCAUGGAUAGUUUUGUUUGUAAUCCUAGAGUAGGUUAUCAAAAAUGGUGUGACCAUGCAUACAAAAUUCAUAUAUUUAAAAUACAUUGCAACACAUAUAAUACAAAUUUAGAUACAAAGGAAAUACAAAUUAAAUAUCAAAAUGUAAUAUUAAAUUACAUUAUGCGAGUUGUUAUUACAGAAAAGCUGAGAAACAAUUAAAAAGCAACAAUUUCUGGUAAAUGUGAAGUGUGUGCUGCAUCCCUUUUUGGGUGGAGUUGUCAUAGGCUGAUCCCUGAAGUAGUGGCGGGUGUAGUGAUUUGAAAUGAGCCUCACACGGUCGCACCAAAAUAUAUGUAGCGAUUUGAAAUGAGCCUCACAAGGCCGCACCAAAAUAAUACUGUAGCGAUUUGAAUUUAUAAUAAAUGUCUGGAGAUUAAUAAUCUCAUAUUAUGACAUUUAUGCACUCGUUGAAAGGGGCACCACCCACCCUUAAUGGUGGGAAAAUAAAGAAACAAAAGUUUAAUUCAGAAAUCAAACAUCAAGUCAGUUUUAAUUAAUCAGUCUCAUAUCUUAAGUCGAAAUUCUAAUUUCAGGGACUCCACUUCUGGAAGAACACUAACAGACAGGAACUUAGAAAAAUAAUGAUCUGUUUAUUACAGGAUAAAUGAUGGUACAACACACAUGCAAUACAUGAUGAUAAGAUAAUGAGGAUAAAAUAACAAUAGGUGAAUAAAUAAAGAUUCUGAGUCAGGCUAGGAGCACUAAAGUUAAUGAUAGUGAGUGAAUAUGCGCUAACAUAUUAACCUACACUAACUUUGGUGUCGAGAUAAACUCGGAUGUGGAUUUGGAGGAAUCUAAGAUUACCAGAAUAAGAGGAUAUCUGAGUUGAACACAGGAGACAGCACCAGCCCUCUUUAGAGCUCUGGAGGUUUGCAUACUUAAGUGAGACUGGUCCUUGGAGAAGAUGGAGCAGGUUCCGAAGGUCCGGGCUACUGGCGGUUCGAGCGGUUCAGCUCAGAAGACGACUGAAGUCAGCCGAAGGAUGAGCCAGGAGUUGCAGUACUCGGGCCCGAAGCAAAGCCAGCGCCUGUGGAUCCUGUGGAUGCUCGUUUGGGUACUUCUUUGGUCUCACUUAAAAACUCUGGCACAGAGGAUGACCUGGGCCUGCUGGGUUGCGUUCAGAGGUGACUUUUAAUCACGCAGAAAACUCAGAAAAAGAGACUCGAGCAGAGAAAACUUUCAAAAAUGGCUUCGCGAAAUUAAAGAAAAAUCAAUCAAAGGCUUAAUCUUGAAUUGCUAUGUGCACAAAAAGUUGAAGUUUCAAAACUUGAACAAAGACGACGUUAAAGAAAAAUCACUGUGAAUCAACACGUGGCGUAAAACUUAGAAGACUAAGAAAAAGUUCUAAGAGAAAACAAAAAAACGCACCACAGAAGGGUGUGGGCAGAAGAGAAGGGGCAUAAGAGCCAGGGACAAGAGAGUCAGCAGAAGACUAGAGAGAAAGAAAAGAGACAAGAGAGUGAGCAACCCCACUUCACUGGUUUUAUCUUCUCACACUGGGAGUGUCUCUGGCGUGUGUGUGUGAGGAGAAAGGAGGGGUCGUGGAAUCUCUGAUUAUUUGAUCUAACUUAUUCUUUUGGCUGGCAAAAGAGUCAGAUCUGAUACUCACUCACUAUGAUUAAUAUCAUUGAAUGCUAGGUUUCAUGAUAAAUAAUUUGAUACUAAACACAUAUGAAUGAAGUGUAGGAUCACAUCAAACAUUCUCAUUAUGUUUUAAGUAUCACAUUGAACAUGCUAAAUUACUCUGAAAUGAAACAGAUAGCAACAUAUAGAAACUGUGAACAACAAAAAGAGUUAACACAUGUGAAUGAACUUCAUCAUGAUUAAUAAUGGAUUCUAAAUACUCACAUUCCGAUUAUUCAAUGACAUUAUAACCAUCUAAUGGUUAAAAAUACUAAAUAAAUGACUAAAAUAUAAACCAAACAUUCCUUAACUAUUUCUGUUACUUAGAGUAAAGUUAUGAUUCAUACUCAACAAAUUUAACUUUUAAAAGUUCAUGAAGUAGUCUGAAAAGCUGUUGGUCUAAAGAAAUUAAAGAAUAAGGAUUUAUCCUGUCAGAGUGAUAACUUGGCUUCUGGAGCACAUAGAAAAAUGAGACACAUCUCAUUUUAACACAAAUUUCAUGAUUAGACAGAUGAGUACAUUGCUGAAUGCAUAAGAUGUCAUGAUCAGUCAAUUGUAUUCUUUCACCAAAGGUUUGCAGUUUUUAUCAGUACAUGGUUGAACAUGGUUGAUCAUGGUUUGACGACCGAGGUCUGGAGGUCAGUGUCCUGUUCCUCAGACCUUAUCUUGGGGUCCGUAUGUUCACACACUUUAAGAGGUAAAUCUCAAAUGGGAGACCAUGAUUGAGGCACUAAUGUUUAUUUAAUAAACAGGUAAUAACAGGUAAUAAGGUAAUAAAAACUUUGUCUCUGUUCUCCAAAUUGACCAAUCAUGUAACACAUGGAAAACUGUGAACAACAAAAGAGUAAACACAUGUGAAUGAACUUCAUCAUGAUUAAUAAUGGAUUCUAAAUACUCACAUUCAGAUUAUUCAAUGACAUUAUAACCACCUAAUGGUUAAAAAUACUAAAUAAACAUCUACAAUAUAAACCAAACAUUUCUAAACUAUUUCUGUGUUCAUAGAGUAAGUUAUGAUCCAUAGUCAAUAAAUUUAACUCUUAACAGUUCAUGAAACAGUCUGAAAAGCUGUUGGUCUAAAGAAACUAAAGAAUAAAGGAUUUAUUCUAUAACUCGGCUUCUGAAGCACAUGGAAAAAUGGGAAACAUCUCAUUUUAACACAAAUUUCAUGAUUAGACAGAUUAGUACAUUGCUGAAUGCAUAAGAUGUCAUGAUCAGUCAUUUGUAUUCUUUCACCAACGGAAUGUAGUCUUUAUCAGUGCAUGGUCGAGCAGGGUUUUACGACCGAGGUCUGGAGGUCAGUGUCCCCCCUUAUCCUGAGGUCCGUGUGUUCACACACUUUAAGACGCUAAAUCUCAAAUGGGAGAUCUGGGUUGAGACGUCAAUGUUUAUUUAGAUGGUCAGCGAUGGAGUCAGUUUGAAAGGUAAUAAAAACUCUGUCUCUGUUCUCCGAAUUGACCAAUCAUGAAGAGUCAGAGGUUUAGUCAGCCUCCGGUUGGGUCAUUUAGGUAACCUGAAGUGUAAACGAGUCUGGAAAGAUUUAUAUCCUGUUUCCUGGGGCCAGAUAAGGAAACUUUCCUGUGAGGAAUGUGUGGGUUUCACAUCCAGGGUUGUCUUGAUUGCUACAUGGGUUGAGUGGUUGGUCACAGGCUGUAAAGAAGAGACAAUAUAUUAGUUACAUGUUCACAUAAUGAGAAUCAAUCAACAUAUAGUUAUAACACACCUGCUUAGCAUGCAUUAGUUUCUGGCUGGAGUUGGCAGUGGCUGAUAUCUCCUGUGAUGGUGUUGUCAUGGGAUAAAUACGUGGUUACAUGUUGUGAAGACAUGACACAUCAGUUACAUAAUCACACAGUUAGAAUUCAUUGUAAUUACAAUCAUAUACCACUUUUGUAUGCAUCCUUUCUGAGGAAGAGACACAUUGCGUGCUUACACAAGUAGUAUAGUUUAUGAAUGAAAAUAGUUAAGUAUAAAUUGAAAGUCACACUUACCAAUUGAUUAUUGUUUCAGUAAUCCAUCAGGGUCUCAUCUCACCAAAGGUGGAGUAAUGAUGGGCUGGUCAGUCUUCAGCUGGAGCAAUCAUAAGAUGUAUGGUAUAUUUGUUGAAACAUUGAGGAGAGGAGAGAUCACAUCAGUUACAUGCUGACAAAUGAAGAAGUCAUCAUAUUGGAGAAACAGUAACUAGGCACAUUGCUAAUGUUUUCAUUCUUUGUAGUCAAGUUGUGAUGUUCAGAAUAAUUGCAAGUGUAAAUGAAGUGGAGAGGUUAUCACAUGUUAGUUUGCAUACAAUCAUUAUAAAUGUCCAUCCAAAUCAUUACUUACGAUGUUCUGAAGUGGUCACUCGCCUUGACAUCAUGGUUUGUCCAGGAGUUGUAAAUUGAUCCAUCUGCCAGCUGUUUGGGAACCUGCUAAAACACUCUCAAAUCUACUUUUCUAUGAAAAGCAUUAAUAAUAUCAAAAACAGCAGUGUACAUGAUUAAUCACAAAUUUUAAAGCUGCAGUAAAUACCUUCAUGGUCGCUAAAAUAUGAAGAUGAAAAAAUGCAAAUUGAAGAUGACUUCAAUAUGUCAUCGUUGAAAUCUCCCAUGAUAAUAAUGUUUUUGCCAAUUUGUUCCAGCCAUUGGAGUAGUUUGUUAAUAUUUUCUUUGAAUAGUGUCAUGGGGUAGGUUGGAGGCCGAUAUAUGACUGUUAGGAAAAUGUUUAGGUUUAUGCAGUUGUACACCAAACAUUCCACAUUGAAACAAGGCACCUUGAUGAUUGCAAACUGCAUAAUUCCACCACAAUACAUUGCAACUCCCCCAUGUUCUUUUGCCUGCAAAGAGGCAAAAGGGGCAGUUUGACCAUCAUAUGCCAGAGCUCGUGGACAACUAUGCAGAGAGUAGUUGGCUAUCUCGAGUGUCUCCGCAGAACAACCUGGAUGCAACCACGUCUCAGUCACAGCAAUGCACUCUGGCUGCAAAUGCUGUGUGUGCUGAGCCAAGUCAGACACAUGGCGUCUCAAACCCUGAACAUUCAUGAGGAACACUGUCAAAGUGUCUUCCACUCUCCCUUGCCAGGUGACAGGCUCUAGGAACGAAACCAUCCUUGAAGUGGCCUGAGCAAUUUCUGGCGGACAAUAGAUUUUUUUUGGAUUGAAAUCUUGAAUGAUCAAUCCCAUAAGAGUCCUGACACGACUCAACGCAACAUAAACCUGACCAGCAGAAAACACCUUCUUCAUACUAACUAUGGCUGUGUCAACUGUGAGGCCUUGUACUUUGUGUACAGUACAGGCCCAGGCGAGACGAAGCGGAAAUUGACGGCGCAUACCUCCCUUCUUUGUCACUCUUUCUUCCUCCGGUGCAAUAGAUGUGGAACCAACAAGAUGAUCUGAAACCCCUUUCUGACUGUUUCCUCCUCUCAACACCAACUGCUUCAUCAUCAAAUUUCACAAAAAUACACAGAGGAAACUUAUUAUUUUCAACACAAACUACAUCUGUUACUGUGUCACAUGCACCAUUAACUAAGCCGUCAGCCAAAUCCAAGUUUUUUGUCAACAUGACACGUGACCCAGUACCCAACAACAAUUCUGCAUCUAAACACGUGUUAUACGUUAGUGUAUGAUAUCCCUUUUUCAAUUCCAGUUUGCCUGUUUUUUAGUUGUUUAUAUAAUCCUGAGCCUGUAUUACAUGGUAAUCUGGACAUGUUCUUUGCAGCUGCUCAAAGUUGUGCUCAUUGAACUGGCUAUUUGUGGCAAAUAUAUGCAAACCUGAGCACUCUUCGCCAGUUUCUCGCUGUUGCAAAGUGGUGAUAUCACUUUGCAACAUGUCUGAGUCUUUUGGAUGGGUCCGAACUCGAUUCAGUAGUCCGGCAAAAUCAUCGUCUGUCUGGCGAAUUACUUUUGUCAACUUAACAACCUUAAAAUGAGUGCUCCAAAGAUCAACUCCAAGUGGUUCCAUGUAUAACGGUUUGCCUUUCACCGGAGGCAACUGAUAAAAAUCCCCCACUGCCAUGACGCUCACAUUUCCAAAUGGAGUGUGAGUGCCUGUCUGUUUAAUUUGGCGAAGUCGACCAUGGACAUAAGUGAGCAUAUUGUGAUCCACCAUAGAAAUUUCAUCAAUUAUCAAGAUUUGGAGAUCACAAUAUUUCAUUCUCAAUGUGUUUAACUUUUCUUCACCUAUUGGCACAUAAGGGAGGCGAACAUCUUUCCCUAUGCUAAAUGUACUGUGCAGGGUGGUUGCAUGCAGAUUAUAUGCAGCAAUCCCUGUUGGUGCAGUCAACAAAAUACUUAUAUUGUCAGGUUGUCGACACAUGGGUGACAAUAACCUUGUGGCCUCGUAUUGAAUGGCUCUGAUUAAAUGCGAUUUUCCAACGCCAGCACCACCUGUUACAAACACAUCAAAGGGGUCUGGGUUUCUACCUGCUGCUUUAACAACACACCACUGAUGGACCUUGUUUAACACACGCAUCUGGUCAUCAUUUAAAGACCUGCACAAUGCCAAUCCCUCACUUCUACUUAAAUUGUUGCACUUAGUUACUUUAGCCUGCUCUACACCCCCAGCCAGAUCAGGAAUAUGUUCCACUGGGUCAUUGUCUACCUCUAUCUGCUCUGCCCUUUCCUGGAUUGACUCCAGUCGUUCAAUUUCUUGCUGUGGGAACAACUGCCCCCACGCAUCUUCUACAGGACCAUCAAAAUUCACAGCAUCAAAAACCUCAUCUAAGUCAUCGGCAUCUAUUUCAUAAUUGCAGCGAUUCGAGUCCACAACUGACUUCACUGAACUUAGCUGUCCAUCAGAAAUGAUGACACGGCCAGUUUUGUAGAAGUCUUCAAAAGUGACAAAUCCCUCUGGCUUUAGCUGUUCUUCUGUCCGAUACGGAAGGAACAGCUGCAAAAUGCUUUGGUGAAAUAACUCUGGACUUUUAGUCUCAGAGAAUCUUGCGUACCUUACAACAGCAGGCUGCGUACGGGUUCUUCUCAACACAAACCCACAGCCGUUAUCAAGUUUAAUUCGGUUUUUUGAUUUUUCACCUUUGUAGAGCACACGAUACUCAGCAGCAAUAUGGACAAGGCACAUGCCUUCAAAUACAUGAUCUCUGGGUCUGUUUUUAUAACGGUCAACAAAGUUGAUCAUCCACAUCUGUUCUGUGGAUUCAGCAGCCAUGUCUUUUAACACAGUCAAUGGCUUGCUGAUCCUGACAACAUUGUCACCUGUUGGUACAAAAACCACCUUCCGAGAGCACUCUUUUAAGUGCAUGUUGCUGAGCUUGUAGACUGCCUCCUGAGCUCCAACAUCUCGGUUGUGAAGGUAAACACUGCCUAGCUUUUUCAAAGCCUGUUUGGCACUGAGGUUGUCUUCCUUGGAUGCCUCCCGCUGUGCAUUUGCCAACAUCAACCCCAUCUCUCUUUCUGCUUUAGAGAUGUAUGAAAUGAUGUAGACUACACAAGCAUAAGCAUCAGUCACAUACUGGAUGUCCAUGUUUGCAUUCCAAGCUUUUAACAGAGUCUUGGAAUGUGGGUUUAUCCACGUAUCACAAACCUGGCGUCGCAUUAUCACCUCUGUCUUUUUCCCUAACCUCCUGUAUGCUGCCUCAAAUGUCUCUUGUCGUAUACCUAUACUCGCAAAUAGCUCAUCUGCAGUUUGAAUUGUGCAGUUCUCGUCUGACAACGCUUUAGCUAUUAAUUCAAAAACCUUAACAGCGAAUUCCCCUUCCUGCUUGUGCUUCUUCUCAUUUUCUUCCUUGCCACAAGUGCACUGUUCUACCACGUUAUGGACGUUGCGCUGACACACGCACUCCAUCUCAACUUCCUUAUACGCCCUGGAAAUGAAUGUCCUAUCAGACACCGGUUUUGGGAAAUUGAAGCGGCACUGUUUUCCACCUUUUUUACAAGUUUUGGAGUGCCGCUUUGAAUGCUGCUGCACUGAAGAAACAACCUCAUGUAAAUCAUCAGUGUUAUUAGGUAGUUCACAUGAAACAUAUUUAUCAAUAAACUGAACAACCUCAUCAUCUGUGUUCACAUCAAUUACAGGGGCAUUCUCAACCCAAAACAGACAAUGAACGUGUGGAGAGCCACGCUGCUGGAACUCCACCCUGUAAAAGUAGUCGAGGAUUUUGCCAAUCGGAUUUGCUGGAGACAUCAACACCUCUUUCAAAAACAGAUGCCAGCGAUAAUCAAACAUGCGAGCGGCGAGUACAGGAUUACGACGCAACAGGUCGCACUUGUCUGCCCACUCCAGGUCCUCAAAUGUCUGUGUUCGCCCCUCUGCCCUAAGAAUGUUCUCUAAAUAUUCCUUCCACCUCAAAUCUGCUGCAGAAAAUGAACAAACCCAUGCAGGUUUGCCAAGCUGUCGCAAGCAUGCUAACAAAUCCUUCUGAAUUCCCUGCCAAAAUGCUGGAGUACCCCUUACAGGUUUUAAAAACGGUACCCAUCAUCAUGAUUUAAAAGGUCACGCAGGUUCUCUUCAUCUUUCAAUACAUCACUAAUCUUUGUUCUAACCUUACUGGCUUUCCCUUUUCUCAAUGCAAUUGACACACUGGACAUGACUUGAUGUAACUCAAGCAUGUAACAAGCAUAAAAAAUAAACUCAAUAUUAUGCGCAAACCUACCAUCAGCAUGAUAUAGCCUGUUGCUCAAAUAGCGGAACAGAGUCAGAGAAAAAUCUCUGUUAUCAAAAAAUGUUCCACGGCCUUUUGGAAACAACACGGGGAAACACUUGGCCUCGUUCUCCUUUGUUGUCAAAACCUUUACAGGGUUCUGUCCAUCAGCUGGAGCCAAGUUCAAAACACCAUCAAAAUAUUGGUCCAGCGCUUCCUGGCCAAUAUCAACAGGCAUUGAGCAUGUGUCUUGAAACAUGCAAUGCUGCUGCCGAUCAUGCAGAAGUUCUUCCUCAGCUGCAGCUGCCUCAGCUGCAGCCUUCUCAGCUGCAGAUGCCUCAGAGCUCUCUGCAUUUGAUCCUCCCUGUUCAUCAACAAUACUCUGCUGCUCUUUGUCAACACUCUCAUCCCUGCAAAAUUCAUUUAUCCAGUCAUCAUUGAACUGCACAUCUUUGUAGAAGGGAUUGUUUUCUUUCAGAUAAUGCAGUGCUUUCUUGAUAUGCAUAGGGUCAACAUACUCGUAUGCAUAAUGUCCUUUAUAAGUAAGCUUGCGCUUCAGUUUAACAGGAAUAACUGAACCUUCCAUGUUUGAACGUGGCAACGCGUUACUGGUUUGGACAAUGUUGGCUGGAACACAUGCAAUCGGCCCAUGAACACCAUUUUGACCCCCUCUAGGAAGAGCUACCAUCUUGAAAAAGGGGAUAUGGAGUGCAAUCAAAUGCGACUCUAGGCUAUUUAAACAAGCCAACUCAGGUGGGAUCGGAUCAACGGUCAGAUUGUUGGUUGCCCUCUCAGCUGGCACCUCACCUUUACUGACCUUGCCAUGACAUGAAUGACAAAUCCACAAACUACCAUGAGGGGAAGCUUUCAAAACACAUGGUACGGCACAAGAAGACAUACAUUUAUGCACAAACACAUCUUUAAUACAUCUAGCUGCGACACGAGCUGUAUUUGUAUUGGUACUGUACUUGUCUAUAUUACAACUCAAAACCUGGUGUUGAAACAACAGUCUAUGGCACACACUGCACACAAAUGCUGGCCCAUGUUUGAUUUUUUCCAAAAACUGCUCAAUUACAAAGUCUAUCUGUUCUAGCUUUACCUUCCUUUCUAAUAUUCCAAGUUUCUUAGAUGCAAGGAAGUGUUCUGUAUUCUGGUGGUAAUUUUUCCUUAGUAAGUGUUAUUUUUUCUGCUUAAAUGCAGCUUUUCCAUAUUUAACCUUACUUAUUUCCCUGCUUCUGUUUUUAACAAUUUGUCUGUGGGUAUUAUCGUCCCUAUAUUUAAUGUUGCUUCUGUCCUUGCUUCUGUUUUUAACAAUUUGUCUGUGGGUAUCAUCGUCCCUAUAUUUAAUGUUGCUUCUGUCCUUGCUUCUGUUUUUAACAAUUUGUCUGUGGGUAUCAUCGUCCCUAUAUUUAAUGUUGCUUCUGUCCUUGCUUCUGUUUUUAACAAUUUGUCUGUGGGUAUCAUCGUCCCUAUAUUUAAUGUUGCUUCUGUUCUUGCUUCUGUUUUUAACAAUUUGUCUGUGGGUAUCAUCGUCCCUAUAUUUAAUUUUGCUUCUGUCCUUGCUUCUGUUUUUAACCAUUUGUCUGUGGGUAUCAUUGUCUCUAUACUUAAUUUUGCUUCUGUAUUUAACAUCUUGUUUGUGCACCUCAUCUAAGUAUUUGACCUUACUUAAAGCCUUGAGUUUCUGUUGAUACAACAGAUUGUGCUUAUAUCUAUUCCUAACAUUUUGGUUACGUCUGUUGUAAUCCAAGAAGUUUUUGUGGUAGUUAAUUUUCAUUUGCAAAAACUUCUUGUUUUUAAGAUAUUUUGACAACCUUUUUUCAUUAUGUGAAGGACUUAAAAUCUGAUGAGUCUGUUGCUUGAAGUCCUGACAUCCUGUCCUGAGGUUAUAGGGCGCAUCUUUGCUCACCUGUGUCAAACCAUAGUCGGUACUAUGUGCAACAGCACCUUUACACAAAUCACAGCAAUCACAGUCCACAUUAGGUUGUCGAACACAGACAACAGCCUCAUAAUGGAUGUUAUUACAGUUCUCCAAAUACACUGCCUGUUCUGAUUAUUGUUGACCUUGACAGCUGUAUUGAAGCCAUCGACCGUCAAUGUAGGUAAAAAUGCUAACCCCGAAACAAUCUGCUGCAGCCUGAAUCUCCACCUCUGUGGCCCAACUACCCACAUAUCUCAUUCUGGACAUGUUGACAUAUUCUUUGACAGAGGUAAAUUCAUUUCUCAGAAUAUGCUCAUAUGAUCCAGGAUGACAUUCAAUGUGUUUACAAACUGCCAACCUGACUUUCCUGUGAAACCUCUCACUACCAGACAAAACAUGACUCACAGCUCUGAAGAAGCAAUUGCCAUCGCCGACAAUAGGCUGCUUCUUGCAUGGAGGUCCUAAUAUGCCAGCUACAAAUCCUUCCACAUCAACUUUCUGACAUUCUAUCCCUAAAGUGUUGCACAAAACUUUGGCAACCUGUAACUGAAGGGGGUUAAACACUAAAUCUUGUUGGGCUCCAUUACCAACACACAUCACAUCGUCGUCAGUCUGGCUUAUUGCAUCAUCAGUGCACACAACAUCAUUAUUUUUUGCACCCUCGUUGUUUGUGUCUUUAACAAUGAAUACAUCAUCACCAAAAUUGUUGGUCUUUGCUCUCUUGGCAGCAGGAGCGUGCACAAAGCGUUGAUGUUUCAAGCCUUGCUUCCUAUGUACUGAUGUACUGGAUGAACACCCCUGCUUGGAGUGUGACACUUCGUGAUGUACAUCUGCAUAGACACUCUUCAUUUUACUCAGUAUUUCAGUAUUUACUCUUGAGCUGGAUGGCAAACACAUACUUUGAAUUGUUGACAUUCUGGGGAUUGCACGCACACCAGCAACUUCAAAAGCCUGGUUGCUCACAUGCUGUGAUGCAGCCAAGGUCAAUGCAUGUGUAUGCAUUUCCUGCAAGUUAUGGAAAUACGUAAUAACACUUCUGCCAUCAGGAUCCACCAGGCCUGAAGCAUUUCGAGCAUGAGAAUCAACAACAGCAAACACACCAUUCUCACGAAUGACAACAGAUGUGCUGCAAUGCAAUGUCAAAAAGCAUGUGUCAUAUUUGGCAAGCAGAAUUUGUAGACUAUGCAGCAAUGUUGUCAACCCGGGUGCAAUGGGUGACCCAUCAGUCUGGUUGAUGAGUCCAGACAUGUAAUCACCAUACUCAAAGUCAAACUCCAUGCCAUCAAUUGUGUGUGAAGCAGGCAAAUCUGGAAUACACAAAAAAUCACUCCCGCCACUGAUUUUGUCGUUAUCUCGCAGAUAUGUGUACAGUUGAUCCCCACAGAGCAAAGCUGUGUCAAGAUCAUGCACACCCCAUGAGAAAACGCUUUUGACACUGUGUUUGGCAACGCUGGCCAGCCCAAUUGCCAUACACUGUGUUCCGUGAUUACUUAAUAAAUCACUUCCCUGGUGAAAUGAUCCUUGGACACUGUCUCUUACCCAACCUGGGUCAGACAUCUCACCCUCAAUCUUAGUGCACAGAAACUGUACUGCCUCAGUCUCCAUACUGCUAACCUGCACAGGUGAGCGAUCAAAAUCACCAAACACAAGAGGGGGGAAAGAGGACGUUUACGCAUACUUACCUGUUCCACCUGGGUGACUCCAUCUGGCUGGGGUGCUGACAGGAUGGCAGUGUUCACCGUCACUACGCCCGGGCACGUCUGGAGCUCUGCCACCCUCUCCAAGUCCACCUCAGGUGAAGUGACUUCUGUAGCAGGAGGCACCUCAGUCAUCUGCGGCUCAGCUGGGCUCUGGACACGCAAGGCCCUUCCCUGCACACAAAAGUUUGUGCAUAAAUAUAUUGUCAUUGAUAAAAACAUCAAAUUGUAAAAAAGUGUACUUUUAUAGUUGAAAGUAGAAUCAUUAACUGAUAAUGCUAACAUCUUAUUUGUGUAUGAAUAAAGAAAAAUAUUUUUUUAAAUUAAGGGCCAAGUAAAAUUUCUUUAUGUUAUUAUUUCAGUUCUGUAUGAUAAACUUGGUUUAGAUGCAAACCUAGCUCUGCGUGCUUGCAUAUUAAUACACCAUGUGUGCUAAUGAAGAAACAAACCUGCUUCCUGGUAGGGAUCCUCCGAGAUGCAACCACAGUCCUGCGUGGUUCCACACGUGGCAUCUGAAUGAAAAAAUAUUUCUUAUAAGCAUUGUUGUUGUGCAACACAAAACAUUUUAUGAAUGAACAGUCAAAGUGCUACUGUAGUUUGACAUUUUCACUGACCUCAUCAUCGUGUGGAACAGGGUUGGGAAGCUGGGACGGCAAAAUCUUCUCCAUGGCAUCCAGCAGGUGUGCACUGAAAUGGAUAGGGUUGAGACGCACAAAACAGUCUCGCAACCCAACUGUUGACAACUAGGAUGAGAAGGAGAGAGAGAAAAAAUAUAGAAUAAAUAAAGUAAUACUUUAGAAAAGGGUUUCUUUUCAAAGAAAAUGUGUGUAAUCCAUACAGAAAUUCUGAUGAUAGUGGUUUUUUAUGAUAGUUGUGUCAUAUAAAGGAUGACAAACCUGCUGCGUGCAUGGAGCAGAGUCCUCCACCUCGUUGCCAGAGAGAUUCUGCUGUGAUAAGUAAGUUGAGAAUUAACACUACUGUAUUAAAUACAUAUACUAUACGUAUAUACACACACAGGAAUUAUGUUUACCUUGUGCACCUUUCCACACACUGUCCACUCAAAGGGGUUGGAUGGUUGAGGUGCAGGCACCUCUCCCCUCACAACCACCUUUGGUGUGACAGUGCUCAGGGGGGCGAGCGCCUGCGCGUCACUGACAGCACUGAUGCAGGAUCACCUCUCUCCAGUUCAGUGUAGGCCGCAUGCCAGAGACGCUGCCCCAGAAUAGGCGACCCACCAUCAUCACUGAGAUGGACCUAUAUAGAAGACAAGACCAUUUUCAUGAUCACAAAUUUGCAUGAUGCAAAAAUUUGUGCAUUUAUUAUGAAGUCCAUAUGAAACAUCAGAUGAGUAGGGAUUGUUCUAACAGAAUCCCUGCACCACAGUUUGAGGCAUCUCAGGAGGAAGUCAUCAGCAGCAGGGCAAACAUAUCGAAUGCCUGUUAAUGUAAAGUGAGACAAAGUGAAGCAUUAGUACAGAUGUGUGUAUUUUACUCCAAACAGAAAAGACAAUUAUUCUUUCACCGUGUCCGUAAAAUGUACAGAGUUGUGAUGUAUUCUAAGAAAUACAUGUAAUUUGUUUGUGUUUUUUGUAGAUGUUUUAUAUGAUUGGUUUUAUGAUGAUAUUAUUGUCAUUUAGAAUUUUGUCAUGAAGGCGAAUUUAAAGUGUUGUAAAACGUACCCAUACGUGCUGCGACUCGACGGAAUUCCUGCCGCAGGAGCUCCUGGUGGUCUAAAGGGUGGUUCAGCCGAGGUGGAACGUCAUACACAAUUACCUAUAAAAAUAGCAAACACACCAGAAGGACAAGGAGAGUUAUUACAGAGCAUAACUACUGAUUGAGAUACUACAAAAUGUGUUAAUGAGAUCAUAGCCCCACCUUGAACCACCUCCCAACAGCAGUGGAGAGAAGUUUAGCAAAAUCUGUUGACGACUUCUCAAGAGACCCUUGGGUUGUCAGGUUGUUGCUAGGAGCCAUGACGAUGACCAAGUCAGGAUUGCGAGGCACAGCAGCAUGCACCAUCUCAAUCCUCAGUUCGUCAGCACAGGCCCCUGGUGUGGACAUGAACCCAAAGGACAUCCGUCCUUCAGGCAAUGGCACAACCCCAUCAACAAACGGGCGCAGGUGAGAGUCACCAACAAUAAGAACAAACUAGGAUGAAAAAGGGAGAAGUACUAAUUAAAUACUGUAUCAGCUGAAAUAUGUGUUGUGAGGGUAAAAUACAAUGUCAGUAUCAUACCUUCUUGUCAGGAACCUCAGGAGGAAUGACCACUUUGUGUUGCCAACCAGUCAACACAGAUAUUGGCCACUGGUUAACGCGAUGGCGAUAACCAGUCCCAACAGUGCCUAUUCAAACAGACAACAUUGACAUGUAUUAUUAUAAAAGGUAAACAGUAAACCUGAUUUGGAUGUGUAUUUUCCUAGAUAGAGAGAAAUAAGAAACUGUUACCAAUAUAGUGACGUGAAAAAAAAUGAUACACACCUGUAAACAUGUCAUCACUGUGGCCUUGUGGACCAACAAUCAGGAACUCGCGCUGAGCGUGUUGCUUGGUUGCAGCCUGUGAUCGACGCCAACCCUUCAGCUUUGGCAUCUGAAAGUAUAGAUAAUAGAUGUAAUACCUGUUAUAUUUGUAAAACUUCCUACAACAAUUAAACAUUUGUGUUAUGUUAUAUAAGCACAAAAAAAUACAAAAAGAGUUGCUAAACAGUGAGGGUAACACAUUUUUAGCCUCUGACCUAAUUUGACAUCACAUUUGUGAUGACAACAGAAACACAAAAAAAGAAUCAUUUCUCCCUCAAAUGUAUUUGUUUUUUUCUUGAUGUGUAGGUGGUGUAGCAAGAGAGAGGAGGCCUAUUCUGUGGAGAAGUAGUCAAACAGCAGUCCCAGGGACAGGAGACAGGUAUGGCAGAGGAAAAGUGAACCUUUGUAGUGAGGAGAAAGUCCAACUAAGCAUUGGCGGUUCUAAAGACUAAAUUACUCUGUAGGCAAGCAACUUUUUAAUUCCCAGACCGUGAAAUCAGACCAAAGCCCCCUUGCGAUGGGGACACAGACAGCAAAACAAGACAAUAAUUCCACUGCAAUGUGGACACAGACCGCAAAACCAGACAAUAGCCCCUCUACGAUGCUGACGCAGACAGCGAAACAAGACAAUAGACUUCCACCACCACUGUAAAGUGCUAAAUUAUGAUCUCCAAGAGUUCAGUGAAGUCACAGAAUAACUAAGUUACAACUAGCUUACUGUUUACACAGGGCCGCUAACAAAGUAGCACACUAGCUACUUUGUUAGCGGCGCUGUGUAAACAUCAAAUCAGCACGCCUAUGUUAGCCACAACAGUUUUGUUAGCAUGCAUGUUUAAGCAAAAGUUCUCCCUCAACAACGGUAAAACACCACAAAUAAGCGUAAAAACACAGACACAGAUUGCAAAACCAGACAAUAGCCCCUCUGCGAUGUGGACACAGAACGCGAAACAAGACAAUAGACUUCCACCACCACCGUAAAAUGCUAAAUUAUGAUCUGCAAGAGUUCAGUGAAGUCACCCAAUUACUAAGUUACAACUAGCUUACUGUUUACACAGCGCCGCUAAAAGGUAGCACACUAGCUACUUUGUUAGCGGCCCUGUGUAAACAUCAAAUCAGCACGCCUAUGUUAGCCACAACAGUUUUGUUAGCAUGCAUGUUUAAGCAAAAGUUCUCCCUCAACAACGGCAAAACACCACAAAUAAGCCUAAAAACAGACACAGACCGCAAAACUAGACAAUAGCCCCUCUGCGAUGCGGCGCAGACAGCGAAACAAGACAAUAAUUCCCCUGCAAUGUGGACACAGACCGCAACACCAGACAAUAGCCCCUCUGCGAUGCGGCGCAGACAGCGAAACAAAACAAUAAUUCCCCUGCAAUGUGGACACAGACCGCAAAACCAGACAAUAGCCCCUCUGCGAUGCGGACACAGCAGGCGAAACAAGACAAUAGACUUCCACCACCACCGUAAAAUGCUAAAUUAUGAUCUCCAAGAGAUAAGUGAAGUCACAGAAUAACUAAGUUACAACUAGCUUACUGUUUACACAGGCUCGCUAACAGCUUUGAUCAGAUGAUUUGACAGGCCGAAGUAGUGCCGAAUUAUCUAAAAAAAUAUACACUCACCGGCCACUUUAUUAGGUACACCAUGCUAGUAACGGGUUGGACCCCCUUUUGCCUUCAGAACUGCCUCAAUUCUUCGUGGCAUAGAUUCAACAAGGUGCUGGAAGCAUUCCUCAGAGAGCUUGGUCCAUAUUGACAUGAUGGCAUCACACAGUUGCCGCAGAUUUGUCGGCUGCACAUCCAUGAUGCGAAUCUCCCGUUCCACCACAUCCCAGAGAUGCUCUAUUGGAUUGAGAUCUGGUGACUGUGGAGGCCAUUUGAGUACAGUGAACUCAUUGUCAUGUUCAAGAAACCAGUCUGAGAUGAUUCCAGCUUUAUGACAUGGCGCAUUAUCCUGCUGAAAGUAGCCAUCAGAAGUUGGGUACAUUGUGGUCAUAAAGGGAUGGACAUGGUCAGCAACAAUACUCAGGUAGGCUGUGGCGGUGCAACAAUGCUCGAUUGGUACCAAGGGGCCCAAAGAGUGCCAAGAAAAUAUUCCCCACACCAUGACACCACCACCACCAGCCUGAACCGUUGAUACAAGGCAGGAUGGAUCCUACUUUCAUGUUGUUGACGCCAAAUUCUGACCCUACCAUCCGAAUGUCGCAGCGGAAAUCGAGACUCAUCAGACCAGGCAACGUUUUUCCAAUCUUCUAUUGUCCAAUUUCGAUGAGCUUGUGCAAAUUGUAGCCUCAGUUUCCUGUUCUUAGCUGAAAGGAGUGGCACCCGGUGUGGUCUUCUGCUGCUGUAGCCCAUCUGCCUCAAAGUUCGACGUACUGUGUGUUCAGAGAUGCUCUUCUGCCUACCUUGGUUGUAACGGGUGGUUAUUUGAGUCACUGUUGCCUUUCUAUCAGCUCGAACCAGUCUGGCCAUUCUCCUCUGACUUCUGGCAUCAACAAGGCAUUUCCGCCCACAGAACUGCCGCUCACUGGAUAUUUUUUCUUUUUCGGACCAUUCUCUGUAAACCCUAGAGAUGGUUGUGCGUGAAAAUCCCAGUAGAUCAGCAGUUUCUGAAAUACUCAGACCAGCCCUUCUGGCACCAACAACCAUGCCACGUUCAAAGUCACUCAGAUCACCUUUCUUCCCCAUACUGAUGCUCGGUUUGAACUGCAGGAGAUUGUCUUGACCAUGUCUACAUGCCUAAAUGCACUAAGUUGCCGCCAUGUGAUUGGCUGAUUAGAAAUUAAGUGUUAACGAGCAGUUGGACAGGUGUACCUAAUAAAGUGGCCGGUGAGUGUAUUUUGUUGUCAUCUAGGUGUAGAUGGGAGGGGAUGUGGUCUUUAAAGUGCUAAAAAUAAAAAUACUACAGUUUUUGAAAAGGGUUUCACGGGGCGCAGUCGUGGGUACGUGCAUCAGCUUAUCAAACAGCUGUUCACCGCAACACGCACACAGGCACAAACAGACCCACAAAGCCCAUGGAUGUUUAUCACAAUUUACAAGCACGUUUAACAGAGUUUUUACACGUUUUUACGAGUAUGUGUUUUAUUCACUUGGCCGUAUUUGGCAAAAAAAAACCUCGGAAAAAAUAGGUGAGUCAAGGUAGACAACAAUUUACUUUCGUGACAGCAAAUAUUCUGUAUUAAAGGCUAUUGUUUUUGGCUAUUCUGAAUAACCUGAAUGAAAUCAUUAAAAGGCACACGCUUUUGAAUCCGUCCAACGGUAAGGAAAACUUAGAAUAUUUCGCCUUGUUGUGUGCUUUCAACCGCGCUCUCGUCAGGGGGGUAUACUACGGCAGGGGUGCGUUCUACGGCACAACACCAGCGUGGAUAAGUCAUGUUUCUCGUUGUCGCAUCUUUGCAUUAGCAAACGUGCAUCAGUACGAUCAAACAGCUGUGCUCCGCAACACGCACACAGGCACAAACAGACCACAAAGCCAAUGGAUGUUUACCACAAUUUAUAAGCACGUUUCACAAAGACGUUUCAACCGCGCUCCCGUUAGAGGGGCAGACUACGGAAGGGGUGCAUUCUACGGCACAACACACCCCCCCAAAAAAAAAAAAAAAUUCUCCUCGGAUCUACACGAUUCACCCUUUCUCACUCAAAACAACGAAUUUCACCGAAAGGUGAGAGAUUUUCAUGCCUGCUGCUAACAAAGCGUACAUAGCACACUAGCUACUGUGUUAGCAGGCCCGUUUAAACAUCAAGUUAGCACGCCUAUGUUAGCCACAACAAGAGUUUUGUUAACAUACAUGUUUAAGCAAAAGUUCUCCCUCAACAACAGCAAAACACCACAAAUAAGCGUAAAAACACAUGACUUACCGUACUGAAGUUGUAAAAGACGAGAUGAGCAGCCGCUCCGUGGAUCGGUGGAAUAAAAGAAAAUCAAACUCAGCCGAGGUUGACCGUGAUAAUUUGUGUGUUGUGUUGUGUGUGUGUUUGUUAAAUGUGAAAGAUGUAUUGCAAGAUUUGUGUUCGUAGAUGUGUAUCAGUGAAGCGUGUAAAAAAUCCUCAAAAACAGAUUUGCUCGUAAAACUCGCUCUCUGUCAAAGGUAGUCUGUUGUCCUCAAGAGUUCAAUCAGACUACACGAGCUACGAAAAUAGUCGAAUAUAAACAGGAGCAAGAGGAGGUCGACCAAUCAGAAAGCUGGAUUUAAUGACUUGCGACUGAGGUUAUAGUCAAAGCCAAUAAGAACAGUACACCUUUCGGUAAGCUCCGCCCAGCCCUCCCUCUCCUCCGCUACGCUUAGCACAAGCACCGUUGAACAAAAUGGCGGCGGCUUUACUUGGCACAUGAAAAUGAACGCUGUAGCUGAUGUUUUCAUUGAUUAAUGUUUGAGAAAAAGCUUAAAUAUCUCACAUAAGUUGUACCAACAAGGCCUGCAAUAUGCAGUCGAAGAAUUACGCAUAAUAUUCAGGUGUGUUCGAACAAAAUAGGAGUUUUGCAUGGUGGUGAGGUCGAGUGUGAACAAAGCGCAGUGAUUCAGUAGGAUGUUGUGCGGUCCAGAGUUUGAAGCCUUUUUCAUGGGGCGGCAGUAGCUCAGGGGGUAGAGCGGUCGUCCAAUGACCGGAAGGUUGGCGGUUCGAUUCCCCCCUAAUCCAAGUCUGUCCGUUGUGUCCUUGGGCAAGACACUUAACCCACCUUGCUCCCAGUGUGUGUCCUCCACUGGUGUAUGAUUGUGAGUGUUGUGUGGUGGUGGUGGUCGGAGAGGCCGUAGGCGCGGAAUGGCAGCCAUGUUUCCACCACCACCAAAGUGUGACUGUGUGAGCGAAUGAAUGAUGUAUCCAAUGUAAAGCGCUUUGAGGGUCUCUGAUAAAGCGCUAUAUGAAAUCUGAUGCAUUAUUAUUAUUAUAUGUUUUAGUCCGAUUACGGUACAAUCUCCAUACAGGUGUAAAGUCGGGCUGUUGCAGAGCUACCAAAUAGAUUUUUGUAGCUCAUUUCGUAGUAUUGCGGUUAUACCGAUAACUUUUGUCACAGACUAGUUCGCUCUUGGCGGAGUUAGAAUCUACCCGAAGUGGUUACACGGAGGAUCACGUGAGCGGGCACGUGAGAGGGCUCAUGUGAUCCUGUAUUAUUGUCACAGAGGCAGUCGGCGUUACCGAGACUGAUAAACCACAUGAAAUCUAAUACUUACAUUGAAUUUCAGCGACCAAUUUUCUUGUCAAAUACUCAAUAGGACCCAGGCUUUAAGAUCUGAAGGUGGGGUUUUUUUGUUGUUUUGUUUCGUAUUAGUGUUUUGACCGGAUAUGGCGAAAACACUGGCUACGCUCCCAAGAUGAAAGUAGUUCCAUUGAUUGAGAUCAGUUCUGCAACGUCCAGUUAUCAUUUUAAAUAAUCAACUCUUGAAUUGUGGAUUAAUAUUGAUUGUCUGAAUUAGGUCUAUAUAUAGACGUUGAAAGGACGUAUAAUUGUUUACGUCUAAAUCACGUCUAAAAAAAUACCGAAUCCUGACGUUGAAAUGAAGUAUAAAUUUAUACAUAUAAAUAAUCUUUACAUCUAUACUAUGCUCAGGCCCGGAUUAAACCUUCUGUGGCCCCUAAACUAAGCAAACCUAAUGGCCCCACUCUAUCCCACGCGCGCAAAAAAAUGGCAGUUUUUAGUAAGGAUUUUGUGGAAUGUACUGCAGCUAUGGGUGGUUAUUUAACGGUUCCACUAGCCACCAGCUGUAGCCAAAAUACUGGGUAAAUACAACUGUGUGUCUGAACUCAAUUCAACAAGAGGUAGUGAAAAAAAUCUUCAAGGAAAGCACAGAGACUGGUGUACAGUUCACUUUUGUACUGUAGAAAACCUCAGGCAUUUUAAAUUAUAAGUAUAUAGCAAGCAUUAUAAAGAAAAGUGCAAGGCAUGAUAUGAAAGCCUGUUAUGGUUAUACAAUUUGUUUUGUUUAAAGAAUUGCUACAGUGAGAUCAGAAAUUUGUAUUAUUUUUAUAUUUGUUCUACAUUUGUCUGCGUUUGUGUUUUGAUGUUUAUUUUCAUAUUCUGGAGAAACUGAUAAAUGUCAGAGGUUCUAACACCGUGAUGCUUGAAUAAAUGUCUUACACCAUAUUUUGAAUUAAUUCAGACCUUUUGUGCAUUUCUUUUUGUCUUGAUACAUUUUUUCCAUUAUUCCAAUUUUGGGGAGCGUGGUAGCAAUUUGAUUGACUUUCAGCCAUUUAUGGCCAUGAUGUGCUAUGUAUAUUUUAUUGCUUUUAUUACACUGUAGGUUAUGUCAUUUUUAUGUAUGAAACAUAAGCUUUUAGCUAAAUGUACAGUAUAUAUUUCAUUGUGCUGGGUGCAAUUCACUUGAGUUGAGACAUUGUCUUCAAGAAAUGUGUUACAUUUUAUAAUCUGAUUUCACUUAUGUGUAUACUAAGGCACCAAUAACUGUUUCAGAUGUUAGGUAGAUGUAUUUAUGAUAUUUCGCAAAGAUUUUAUCUUGCCAGAAUGAACAUAGUAGUUUCUACAAGCAAAAACAGCAGCACCAUAUAAUCGUUUUUUGUGUUACUCACAUAUAUGUACAUUUCUGGCUGGUCUUUUGUCUCACCCUGUAAAUGAAACCACUUUCUCAUACUAGUUCUGUAAGUUUCCCAACGUGUCCUUGUAAAGUCGACAACGUCUUCACUUUGGACAGAUAAUAGAUGAAUAUAGCAUCAUUUCGUUCCUUUUUAAUGCACUUUUGAAUGCUGUUUUCUUUUUUCCUGUUCUUUUGUUCCUCUUCGCUUGUCUCGAUGGUAUUCGCGCUCGUCGCCAUGUUUGUGUAUUUCUGAAACUAUGGGAACGAGACUCGCCUCGUAUUGGUCCACGUGACAAAAAUUGCUUCACCCCUCUGCAUAUUCGACUGCGCGUGUUCAUGUAUCACUACGCCGCACUACGCCGCACAAAGGAACUACUUCGACACUGAAACACUAAUUACUAAAAAUCGAUAGGAUGGCAUGAGUAGAUAUUUUUUCUUAGUUCUUACUAUCAAUAGAGCUAUUUUAUGAAUCACAGUGUAUGUUGCCCCACUGAAAUGGAACGAGAUUCACUUUCUAGGCACUUUUUCCUCUGUGGCAAUACAGCCCUGAGGCUUCAGCCUCACUAUGCCUCAUGAUUUAUCCAAGUAAGACAAUGCUGGAUAUCUUUUCACGGUAUCAUAACUAAUGUAAUCCAGACGUCAGUUAUGCACAUUGCAGUUGCUUAUUGCAUAAAAAGUUAUCGAAAAAUGAAAUUGAGGGCGAAGUAUAAAUCACGUCUAGAAAUAGCCCGAAUCCCAACGUUGAAAUGAAGCAUAAAUUUAGGAUAGACGUCUAAUAUGGGUCUUUUGCUCAGUGAAAGAGUCGCUGCCAUUUUCAACGCCGAUUUACAGAGCUUCUACCUCAAAAGAGCCUACCGACAGGUUUAUUUGUAACGCUGUAAUAACCCAACAUAGAAAUACACAAAAAAAGAAAAACUCAACCUGUCAGAAAGUGUUGUAGUGGGCAUCUGGUAAUGACAAUGAAGUGUUAGCAAAUAUAUAUAUAUGUAAAUAUAUAUAUUUAUAUGUAUACUAUUGCAUUGUCACGUGUUCAUUAGGUAAGGAGGUGUGUUACAUUGUGACGUGUUCAUCAGCACAGUGUGUGAUUGGCUGGGGUGCGUGCUUAAGAGUUCAGUGUCUUUAAAACAGAACUGUAAAGCUACACCAAUUCAGUAUCUGUAAAACAGAACUGUGAAGCUGCACCUACGAAGAACAACGGUGGAAACUACAGUAAGUACAAUUUUUCUCCGUGUUGCUUAAGUGUUAUCUAAAUGGAUGAUGUGCUAUUGAUGUAAUGUUGCAAACAUGUUUUUUUUUAUUUUGCAGAUGGUCUCACCUGUAAAACUUCCAGCUGGUGCUACUGAAAAUUCAGACGUAAGGGAGAUCAGACUCCGUUUUCAGGUUAUGUCGGUGAGUACAUGGAGAACACAAACUAAUUAUGUGGAUUCUACUUUAUAGUUACACGACUAAAGUAGUGAAUUAAAAUUAUUUGGAUUGGAUUAGAGAAUGAAGUUCUUAUGCAAAGUUUGUGUUUGGCAAUUAAAAAGUUGUACGGGAUUUGAUUUGACUGUUAUCAUGUGUUGUGGUGUAUUAUCUAGUGACGUGAAGAUAGUUUUAUAGGGAGAGAAUUUUUGAAUAUAUAUAGUGAUAGGUAUUCCGGUAUUAAGGACAUGAUGAAGAAGAAUGUUUUUGUAUGAACACAGUAAAACGAAAUUUCUUUGUUAUUACGUAGGUAGCAGCUGCAUUGCUCACUAUAGAGAUGUAUGUGCAUCAGAGCACAAAUUCUGUAGAUGUAGGAGUUACAUUAAAUGAAUUGCUUGUUAAUUAUGUGUGUAUUAUUGUUCUGAUGAAAGUUAAUGUAAGAUUUGUGGUUAAAUGUGUGUGCUGUUGUGGAGCAUCUUGAAAACUUAAACAAUAUGCAACUGGACUGUGUAGAAUUCAGAAAACAUUGGCCUCUUAUCCAAGAAGCUUCGCUAUUUCAUAAUUGCUAGUGUGAAUGUGUGUGUUUUACUGAAAGGGCACAGAAAACAACUGGGAGGUGUUGGGUCGUCAACUCUGGGUGUGUCCCCUUUUAAUUUAAUUGUUAACCUGAAAGAGUUAACAACUUAGAGGAAGCCCUCAAUGACCACACCCAGGGUAUUUCCAAUGACCACACCCAGGGUAUUUAAUUCCAGGUGGAGUCUGAAUGUUAUGUCCUAAAGUGGUUUUUAGGUUCAAAUGAGCAUAAUUUGUGUUUUUGGUGAUGUAGUUAUGAUUAAUUAUUCCUGUCUGUUUUUUGUUUCAGUAUGCAAUAAAGGACGAAACCCUAGACAGGGUGGCCCUUUAUCAUGAAAGUAUGGCGUGCCAUACUUUUGUACUCAACACGACAGCAAGGAUGGCACGCCGACUAAAAGCAGCAGAAGAACGCUCUGCUUAUCUGGAAAGAGCAAUAAAAUCUCAAAAUGAGGAAAUUGCACGCUUAAAAGAAACCAACCUCACUCUAGGAAAGCAGUUGGAGGCAGCCCAAGUGGGUCUUAACAGCAUGUGUAAGUAUUUAUCAGUCAUGUUUGUCUUUAUAUAGGUGAAAAUUAUAAUGUGUUAUUAAACACGUUGAAUUAAUGUAAUAUGUAAUUCAUUUAUUGUAGUGGUAAUUGUUGUAUUUUUAUGUGUGUAAUUUGUUUUUGACUGUUUUGAAUCAUAUGAAUUUUGUUGUGUAUGUGUUGUGAUGUAUGUGGUCAGUUUAUCAAUAAUUGAUUAAGUGUUGUUUUAAAUGUGUUUAGGUGAAGCUGUUGGUUUUUUUGAAGAUGAAGACAGGGCUGGUGAGGGUGCCAGCAAUAUCUCAGGAUUGAAAAGUAAGUAUGUGGCAUUGUUUGUAAUUAGAAAGAUGAAGAAAGCGAUAGAAUUCAAAAUGCGGGGACAACAAUAAGGUUAUGUGUGUGUGUUCAUUUUACACAUGUGGGAAUGUUGCAUGUCCUGGUCUUAUGUAAACUGAAAGUGAUAUUGUAAAACAUUAUUAACAUUGAUUUGAAUCAUUUUUAGGUGUACCACCAGUGGAAGCAGCAGACACAGACCUCACACCAGCUGAGAAAGCAAUUGCUGGUGUCCUUGAAGUAGUAGAGGAGGGGUGCACAUUACAAGAUAACUGUGACUCUGAAGAAGUGGGAGACAUGUCUUUUUUUAGAUCCAUUGUAGUUAAUUGCUGAUUAUGUGUGAUUUUAUGUUUAUUGUGUGUGGUCGUGUGGGUGAUUUUAUGUUUAUUGUGUGUAAAUGUUGUAAUAUAUCAUAGUUACUGACAUUAUUAGAAGUUCAGUUUGUGGCUGUUGCCUGUAUUUCCUGUAUAUUACAGUGUUUUAAUUAUGUAAAUAAAGGGUUGUUCUGUAACCCUUAAGGACCCCUUAAAAUUUACUGACACUUGCUACACUCGUGGCCAAACAUUCAUAUUUCUUUUUACUUUCAAGCAUUAUAUCUUGUCAACAACUUCAGGCCUAUCCAUACAUAUAAAGGUUAUUUAAAAUAUAUAUUUUUUAGGUAUUUAGUGUCUUUUGUCGUGAGAACCCCUAAUUUUUUUAAUGAGAAAAACUAAAAAUAUGCAAUAAUUCCAAAAAUGAGGUGCAAAGUGAAAGAUUUUGGAUAAAGAUAUAACAGCCCUGACUAUGUCAACAACUGAUAAAAAUAAUGAUUGUAAUGCAUAAUUAUUAGUGCACAAUGACAGUUUCCAGUAUAAAGUUUAUAAACUUAUAAAAGUGCCGUAAAAAAUUAUACAUGCCUUUUUUUUUGCUUUAAAUCAUUAUAUCAUGUUAACAACUUCAGACCUAUCCAUAGAUGUAAAGUUUAUUUAAAAUAUAGAUAUAAUUUUUUUUAGGUUUUAGUCAUUUUUGUCUAGCAAACCCCUGAUAUUUUUAAUUGGAAAAACACAAAAUAUGCAAUAAUUCCUAAAAUGAGGUGCACAGUCUUAUAACAGUGCAGCAAAAACAUUAUACAUGCAUUUUUUUCUAAUUUAAAGCAUUAUAUGUAGUCAACAACUUCAGACCUAUCCAUAGAUAUCAAGUUUAUUAAAAAAAAAAUUGUAGAUUUUUACGUUUUUAGUGCCUUUGUCGUGACAACCCCUGCUUUUUCACUGUGAAAAAAACAAACUAUGUGAUAUUUCCAAAAAUGAGGUGCAAAGUGAAAUAUCUGUGAUAAAGUUUUUUGAUAAAAAUAUUGAUUUAAAUGCAUAAUAAUGUUUUGCACAUAAGAGAUUCAAACUCCUCCUUCUCCUAUUUGUUUCCCCUUCUCAAAUUGCAUUAUCCCUCUAUGUCUGACAAAUAUUUCUCCCCUGAAUCCUCCUGGCUCAUAAAUGGCUACACAAAUAGUGCUCUGAGGUGCUUGAACCCCUGCCCUUUUUGACUUGUAUUAAACUUCCCUUUUUUAAAUUCUUUUAAUAACUCCUGUUUGAAAAGUUAAAAAAACAAAACAAAAACAUGGUUCAAAAACUCCACAGCAUUCUACCGUAUCCAUUUUCUUGUGAUACGUUUUUUUGUGUGAGAUGAGUCUGCCACUUCUCUGUCUCUUGCAGCUCCACACUGUCAUAGAACUACCUGAGACAGAGCAUGGUGCAUCAAUUCAGCACAGAGCAGAUCAUGUCAGAGAGGGAAUCCUGUACAAAAUAGAAAAUAAAACACCAGGUUUAUUUUCAAAACAAAAUGCAUCGUGUUUAUGGCGAAUCACAUUUUCCUCACUACAGGUCUAAAGUACAGGUUCCAGGUUUAGAAACAAAGUUUAUUGUGAGUUUGCUACUAUUGUGUGGGCUAACAAAUUGAUGAUAAUAAUAACAGUAAUAAAAAUAAUAAUGAUAAUAAUAAUAAUAAUCUUUUUGUAUGACAUGGACUUAUUGGGUCUGAAAUAAAGUUUGUAUACCAAUAAAUAGAUAGAUAGACAGAUAGACAGAUAGAUAGAUAGAUAGAUAGAUAGAUAGGAAGCUAGGUAGCUAGGUAGAUACUAAUUUCAGCAUGUAGGUAAUCUGUGUUUGAAAUAUUACCAUCUUGAUCAUGUCAUGUUGACAAUAGUUUGUUGUCACAAAAGAAAUGGCUAUUGGAUAUCACUAUCACCUACACAGGACAGUCGUUACCUUUCUAUUCGUACUUUUUCUUUAAAUUUUAGAUUAAUUUCCAUAUUGUAUAAACAACUGGAAAAAAACUUGAGCCCAUGCCCCUGUAUAAUCAUGUGCACGUCCCUGUUCUGGCUUCAAGGUGAAUCUUCACUGCUCAUGUUCUCCUCAGAAGCAGUCACCUCACUCCCCUCAGGUGACUGUACACAUGCAGCAACUGCCUGCUUUAGGUUUAUAUGGCGCUUCAUCGUUGUCUUUUGGAGAAAUGACCAGCCAAGUUGUGUUUGAAAUUUGAUUUUUUUCAGGGGCAAAAGGAAGCCUCUGCAUUCCUGUCAAUAUAGCGAUAGCAUGUUUUUGCAGGUACUAAAAAACAUACUGUGUGUGUGUGUGUGUGUGUGUGUGUGUGUGUGUAUCCUGCAGUACUCUGAGAAAAAUAAGAAGCAUGUUUCUGAUGAAAUUUUGAGGAUUCAUCUGACAGUCAGAAUGACUGAUCAUUCCCUUACCCUUUAGAUAUCUGUCUAUUUCUGUUUUUGUGUGAAAAUAAAGGAAUUCCUGGUCAAAAGGGCUCUGUUGAUGUUUUUUUGGUCUUAAUUCAUAUUCAAACCACUAUUUUAUAUCACUGCUAGUAGGACAAGGCCAUUUUAUGGUGUUUAGCUUUAUUAUUUCUAAUCAUUUUGCGAAGAAAUAAACCCAGGCCUUCACUAAAAUUUCCCUAAAACUUUAUGUAAGGACCUCUGGUUGUUAAAGGGCUUACAGCUAAAACUUAUUCUUCCUAAAUUUUACAGGUAAAAGCUGAGAUCAAUUAGAUCUUUUGUACAUCUCUUAUUUAACUUCUGCCCUGUUCAAAACUAGCAAAUGUUUCAUUGAAAAUAAUUUUUUAACCCUUUAAAUUCCCAUUUAAGACAUAAAGUCACUAAUAUAGCAAAAAUUGGAGCCUUUUAACUUUUUCUGUAGCAUCACAUUUAAUAGACAGCUCCCUUUGGCGCCACUCAGUGGCCAAAACUACUUUGUCUGCUGUAAAAUCAUAUUGAAUUAAUAUUUUUUCCAGAUUUUAUUUUGUACAUCUCUUAUUUUACUUCUGCCCUGUUCAGAACUAGCAAAUGUUUCAUUUAAAAUAAUGUUUUUAACCCAUUAAGAGCCCAUUUAAGACAUAGAGUCAAUAAUAUAGCAAAAAUUUGAGCCUUUUAACUUUUUCUGUAGCAUCAGAUUUAAUAGACAACUCCCUUUGGCGCCCCUCAGUGGCCAUAACUACUUUGUCUGCUGUUAAUAGACAACUCCCUUUGGCUCCACUCAGUGGCCAAAACUACCUGGUGUCGGUGGGACGAAAGCCUUAGGAGGAGUUAGCCACAUUCCAAUGUGUGCGAACAAGUGUCUAAAAAACAGACUCUGAGUGUGUGUGUGUGUGUGUCUGUGUGUGUGUGUAUCCUGCAGUACUCUGAGAAGAAUAAUAAGCAUAUUUCUGAGGUGAAUUUUGAAGAUUCAUCUGCGAGUCAGGAGGGCUGAUCAUUCCCUUACCCUUUAGAUGUCUGUCUAUGUCUGUUUUUGUGUGAUAAUGAAAGAAUCCCAACUCAAAAAGGCUCUGUUGAUGUUUUUUUUUUUGUUGUUCAUUCAUAUUCAAACAACUAUUUUAUAUCACUGCUAAUACGCCAAGACCAUUUUAUGGUGUUUAGCUUUAUUAUUUCUAUGCAUUUUGCAAGGAAAGAAACCCAGGCCUUCACUAAAAUUUCCAUAAACUUUAUAUAAGGACCUCUGGUUGUUAAAGGGAGUCAUUACUGCAAAAACAUAUUCUUCCUAAAUUUUGAAAGUCAAAGCUUAGAUCCAUUGGGUAUAAAUAGAAAAAGCAUUAAAAUAUGUUAGGAUUAUAGCAUAUAACAAAUGUGUGCCUUUCAGUGGCCAUAACUACUUUGUCUGCUGUUAAUAGAAAACUCCCUUGGCGCCACUCAGUGGCCAAAACGACUUUUAAGAAUGUGGAUUUUUGGGUCAUCUUUGGCGCCCCCUAGAACGUAAACCGUGGGGUGCAGUGUCAUGAUUUAUACAACUUUGAAUGGCCAUGGGGUGUAGCUUGGCCUGAGCAAAUGUGGUGCCGGUGGAACAAAAGCCUUCGGAGGAGUUAGCGAAAUUCCAAUGUGUGCGGAUCUGCAAAAAAUGCGAAAUAACCCUUUAACCGUACAUUUGACAGAUACGCCCGCAUUGACUUUUUUGUAGAUCUUAUUGAGUUACGUGUGUGUCAAUUUUUGUGUCAAUAUGACAAAGCGUACAGGCGUGACAGUCAAUAGUGUGAAUUUUCACCUUAGGGGGCGCUAUGGAGCCAGUUUGCAUUUUAUUGUUUGGGCGACUUCAGAAUAUCGAAUUUUUCACCAGGCCCGGUCGUCCAGUUCAAAGGGGAGGAAAAAGAAGAAAGAAAGAAAGAACUAGGGCCCCGUUGGGGCACUGGCGGGCCCGAGCCGUGUCGCGCCGCCCCCAGCGCGACCGCCUCCCCCUCCCGAUCGCGUCACACUCAAGGUCCAAAGAUGGUGUGCGCACCUGUCUUUGGUCAUUUCCCAUUAUAAUGAAUGGGAGGCACAGUUUCUACCAAAACGCUCGCUGCAGACAAACUACAUGUCCUAUUUGAAAAAACUCUGGACCAUGAGUGAGGGCACAAACACAGCUAGGACAUAUCCAAAUGGCAAGUUGCUCCUCCUUUUGGUUUUAGCGGGAGAGCAAUGCGUUUGAGCCAUUAAGCGAUGGGCUGGAAAAACUUGACUUUUUCUCCUGCCAUGGGGGGGGGGCGCUCUUUUGGGGAGAAAAAAUUCCUUCACAGAUGUGUUGAUGGCUGCACAUUGCAUCAUCCUAGAAAACUUGGAGGCCAGUGAGGACAAAAAUAAAAAGUUAUAAGACUUUUAAAAAUGUGGAUAUUUGGGUCAUCUUUGGCGCCCCCUAGAACCUAAAACCGUGGGGUGCAGCGUCAUGAUUUGUACAACUUUGAAUGGCCAUGGGGUGUAGAUUGGCCUGAGCAAAUUUGGUGUCAGUAGAACGAAAGCCUUAGGAGGAGUUAGCCACAUUCCAAUGUGUGCGAAUCGGCAAAAAAUGCAAGAUAGCCCUUUAACCGUACAUUUUACAGAUAUGUGCCCAUUGACUUUUUCGUAGAUCUCAUUGAGAUACACGUGUGUCAAAUUUUGUGUCAAUAUGACAAAGCGUAUAGGCGUGACACUGAACAAUGUGUAUUUUCACCUUAGGGGACAAGAAAAAAUGGACUUUUUUCUCCUGCCAUGGGGGGGGCGCUCUUUUGGGGAGUAAAAAUUCCUUCACAAAUGUGUUGAUGGCUGGACAUUGCAUCAUCCUAGAAAACUUGGAGGCCAAUGAGGACAAAAAUAAAAAGUUGUAAGAUUUUUAAGAAUGUGGAUUUGUGGGUUAUCUUUGGCGCCCCCUAGAACGUAAACCGUGGGGUGCAGCGUCAUGAUUUGUACAACUUUCAAUGGCCAUGGGGUGUAGAUUGGCCUGAGCAAAUGUAGUGCUGGUGGAACGAAAGCCUUCGGAGGAGUUAGCGAAAUUCCAAUGUGUGCGGAACGGCAAAAAAUGCGAAAUAACCCUUUAACCGUAAAUUUGACAGAUACGCCCGCACUGACUUUUUUGUAGAUCUUAUUGAGAUACAUGUGUGUGUCAAUUAUUGUGUCAAUAUGACAAAGCGUACAGGCGUGACAGUCAAUAGUGUGAAUUUUCACCUUUGGGGGCGCUAUUGAGCCAUUUUGCAUUUUCUUGUUUGGGCGACUUCAGAAUAUCGAAUUUUUCACCAGGCCCAGCCGUCCUGCCAAAUUUCAUGAGUUUUCGCCAGUGGGAAGUGGGCCAUUUUCCAGUUUAAAGCGGAGGAAAAAUAAUAACUAGGACCCCGUUGGGGCACUGGCGGGCCCGAGAGCUGUCGCGCCCCCGCCCCCAACGUGCUGCCUCCCCGUCCCAUUUGUGUCCUCUGACCAUCGCCCUCUCUGGUAACGCCCAUCACUGCAAAGACCCUUUUCCUUCAUCGGCGUUUGCUGUUCUUCCUGCCAG